AGUAUUAAGGUAAACCUAACCAUAGCAUGAAACAUUGACACGGCACAUUAUAAAGAGUUCAAUCCAAAUUUUAUAGUAACACUAUUAUAUUUAAAUAGUGAUUAUUCUAACACAUGGAUAAUUAAUUAAGGCACCAGGUUGCGCUUGUGACCAGGAAAGACAAACUUAUGAACUUGCAAGCAUGGUAAUCAGAUCGACAUCCACACAAUGUCAAUAUGAACAUUGUCUUGAUACAACUUUAUUUGUAUUUUAUUUCAGAAUUUAAACAACUAGUUUGGGCGGGUCACACACGACGUUGUGUGACACUUUAUUUGUCACCGCUGCAUCGACAUAUCCAUCGACUAAACAACGGUGAUCCAACUAUAUAUUACUAGAGACCUUUCCUUAUCAGUAGGCACCAACUCCGGUGCCAACGCUGAAUGGCACACUAGUGGUGGUUCUAUACAAGGGCACAUUGACACGGCACAUCGUUGGCAGGGUACGGAGCGCAAUGGAAGUCAUCACCUCAAGCUGAGCUAUCUGGUGUGGAUGCAAAAAGGUACCCUGUGCCAAUUGUUGUUGUUGAGGUUGUUGCCCGAGUUGCUGCUGCGACUGCUGUUGGGGUUGGGAAACGCAUUGGCCCAACUAUUGCGGUUGCUGCUGCUGAGUUUGGAUGGAACCCUGAACCUGUUGUUGUUCUUGCAGGACGAUGGAGUAGAUGAUAGCACGGAUUGCCUCAUAGCGGGAUUGCUGGGGGAUUUGCGGCAACUGCUGGCAACAUUGUUGUUGCAUCACAUGGCAACUGCUCUGCUGCAACAUUUGCGACCUAGCAAGACUUUGUGGCAUUGCCACAGGGCUGCAUUGCUGCUGGAGGAAUACCUUGCAUGGGUUUAGUUGCUGCAAGAUAGAUGGAUGAACAAAUGGUAUUUGUUGUUGCGGUAGAACUGAUUGUUGUUGUUGCGAAAAUGGUGGUUGUUGCGGUAGUACUGGUUGUUGUUGUUGCGAAAAUGGUGGUUGUUGCUGUGAAAAUGGUGGUAGUUGUUGCUGCGAAAAUGAUGGUUGUUGCGGUAGAACUGGUUGUUGUUGCUGCAAAAAUGGUGGUUGUUGCUAUGAAAAUGGUGGUUGUUGCGAUAGAACUGGUUGUUGUUGCUGUGAAAAUGGUGGUUGUUGCUGUGAAAAUGGUGGUUGUUGUUGCUGUGAAUAUGGUGGUUGUUGUUGCUGCGAAAAUGGUGGUUGUUGUUGCUGCGAUAAUGGUGGUUGUUGUUGUUGCUGUGAACAUGGUUGCUGUUGUGGAAAUGGUUGUGGUUGUUGUUGGAUAGGUUGUUCUUGUUGUUGGUGCCAUAAUGUUUGUUGUGGUGGUAAUGGUUGUUGCUGCGAUGGUCUCUCCAAACCAGGGAUGUGGCUAUUCUCCAUUUGUGCAAUGGCACUUGUCGCCGCAACGGCGAGGAGGGCAAAGAUGAGGAAGGUCUUCAUGGUGGAUUGGUGUUAACUAGUGUUGCUUGGUUUUGAUGCUUGUGCUUGUGACGAUCUUUAUACUUCAUGCCUAUUUAUAGUAGCCCGGGCACCACCUUUUUCUUCUUUGCAUUAGCUUUAAUAAUUUUGUUUGGAUGCAAAAAUGAUUUUUGGUACAAUGUGUUAGGUUGCACUAGCUACACGCGUACUUUUGGAUUGAUCAUCAAAGUUGCUUUUUAGUUGUGCAUAUGAUCACACAUAAAGUACAGAAACCUUGAUGUUUGGUAUAUAUGACUCACCUUAUUCACUUUACAUGUCACACACUUAUCUGGAUAGUAUCACUUUUGCAACCGAGUUUGGAACCUUGUAUAGGCUGUCAUCCAUAAACAAGAAAGGCAAAACUUGUGUAGGACUAAGUGUAGAACUAACUUUGUAUUUUUCCUCUAAAAUGAUUAGAUGAACCGACGCCUAUAGAGCAUGACAUGACUCAUCGAAUUCCCUUUACAUGUAAAGGAUGGUAAUUGCUUACAAGCUACUCCUACUAGCAUAUAUCCGGUCCUAACUCUUGACACGUCAUCAUCAGUUUCGCCUAUUUUUUUAGAUAAAUCAUCAGUUUCAUCUAUUUGUGAAGGGUUUUUUUGGGGGAAAUGAUAGUUUUUUUAUGCUAGGGGGAUUUUUUUGGGGGGGGGGGAUGACGCUAGGGGGAAAUGAUAGAUGGGGCUGGAACAGAGGCCCCCAGCCUGGAGCGAGAGAUUAGGCCCAACAUAAGUGCCGUGUGUUAGGGCACCAAUUCGAUUUGGGCUAUAGUUCUCGUAGGCCCCAACGACACAAGCCCAGCCCACACUCCGCGGAUCUGCGUCCCUCCCUUCCUCGUCCUCCUCGCCGGCCGGACCGCUCGCCGUCGCAGCCUCUCCCGGACGCCCACCGCUCGCGGCCCCUCCACGUACCUCCGCGGCAGCGGAGACGUCAGCCUCCCUCCCACCCUCAACAUCCGGCCCCCCACCACCACCACCACCGCUCGACAAAAAAGGUCACUUUUGAAGCUCCUCCGUCGAUUGUGGGCCGUACGUCGACGGCAGCCACUCCGACCUCCCCAUCAACACAAGGUAUCGAUUUGUUUCGUCUGUCUCUUCCAACGAUUCAAUGCACAUAAAUCCGAGAGGCAGACCCAUCUCCAUGCUAGCUGCACGGAUUAGGAGGGUCAGGCAUCAGAAUUCAGCUGGGAAGCCUGACAGUAAUGUACAUUUGUGGCUUUAGUAGCUGAAUAUAACUAUGUGCUUUCUGAGAAUUUCACUUCAAAAGUUCCAAUAAUCAUCAAAUUUCCCCCUAUGCGCGCUAAGCAGGUGGACCAUAUAUUUCUCAUGUCGACGAACGAAAAAACAAAACUCCACAACUAGAAGUCUAUGAUAUUGACACGGAACCGUGCUGUAGGGUCGCAAGUAAAAAUAUGAAAAGCAUGCCUAAUAAGCGAGAUGACGCAGUUCCUGACCGCCCCGCUACGACUAUUGGUUCCAGCGUGGCGUUUGAAUUAUGCCGCGCUAGAUGUCUUUUGUCCGGCGAGGAACAAGUGGGGUCAAGCGUGCUUCGGCAAUUCCCGCCGUCAGAAGACUUCCUUGUAGUCCGGUGUAGAGGUGAGGUUGUGGGGAGAUACAUCGACUAGCACUACUAGGGAAAAGGCUAGCAGCAGCGCGGGUUUUAGAUGUAUCAGUAGUGCGGGUACCCGCGCUACUAAUACGGCGCUACAGCUAACUCAUAGCAGUAACGCGUGAGCACCCGCGCUACUGCUACACAAGUGUAGCAGCAGCGCGGUUAUGAGAAGCUCGCUACCGCUAGUAGCGCUAGCGCUCUUUGGCCGGACGCUCUACUGCUAUUGAGGCGCUGCUGCUAACUUUUGUACACUCGCUACUGGUAAUUUAAGUAGUUUUUUGGCAUAUUUGUUUUGUAUUUGAACCGGCUUUGUAGAAGAAUCUUUAGCACAUAGAAAUGUCAUCAUGAUACACAUACAAAUGCCUGCGAGACCACAAAUGUAAUCAUAGCAUGUACAUACAAAUAGUCUCUUCAUAAUCAUCAUCCAACACAAAGUGAUAUCUUGUCAUCAUCUCGAAAAUAGCAAUACAUGCAAGUCUCGAAUACUUGCAACUACAACAACGUCAUCCAUCUAAACAAAGGUAUACGCAAGAAGUGCUAUCACUAUGAGUGAGAGCGGAACCAUGCAGUACAUGAGGUGGCGGUUAUGAGUCCUCUCUUGCGCUAGCGUGAACCUCAAGUAACUAGCUUCUCCUUCUUGUCUGCUUUUGAAGCCUUUAUGGCUGGCGCCCGUGAACCCAUUCACUUGCGCCUGACACUCAUGCCACUCGUUGUACACCCCCGGAACCUUCCCUUUGUACACGACAUAGCAUUUCCAUCUCGCCAUCAAGAAACUAGGUACCUGUUAGAGAUGCAUGUUCAUGAAGAGGAUGUACAAUCAUAUAUAUGCAACAAAAUAUACUAGAGCAACACUAAGAAAGAAAGGUUAGCAACUAGAUGCAACAUAUACAUUACGCAAAUUAAUUAACUAGAGGUACGCAGGUCAUCGUACGCAAACUAACAAAGUAGCGUUACGCAAGUUUGGCAGGGACCAUGGACAUCACAAAGUUUCAUCGCUACAAAAAGUAUACAAGUUCAACCGACACAUAUCAUCAUCAUCGGCAUCAUAAAUCACUAGAAGUUCCAUCCUUCCAUAUCAUCGAGGACGAACCCUAGCUGCUUGAACGGCGUGAGGUCUAGACGUUGCAUGCCUAUGCGAGUUCGGACGUCAGCUCGCGAUAUAGGGCCGUGGUGGAACAUCCCCUUCUCAUCGACGACUUCUUUCAUGAUGAUCAUCGCAAUGUCGCUUUGGAUGCGAAAGAAGUCAUCUCUAAGUUUAUAAUUCGCUUCUCCAUGAGAUUCUAGCCACUUGUGGAUAUGAUCAUCAUUUCUGCUGUUAAUGCGAAGCUUUUGGUGAUCCGUGUUGAACUGAAUCAUGAGAUGGACGAUGUAGAAUCCAUCCUUCUUGCUUGGUUUUGGGACGUGGAUGCAGGAGAAGUUAGUUUUAUGCGCGAAACCCAUCUUCUUGUUCCUUUGUUUCCUGAUAUGCACGUGGCCACCUCUAAAGUUGAAGCCUUGGAGAGCAUCAUCUAGAAUAUUCAUUAUGUGGGUGUAGUCCUUUUUCUCGUAGUCUCUAGAAGGGUCAAAAUACACGGCGUGGGAGACUUGCGGGUAAAGAAUGAUAAGGACGGCGCGCCCGUUGCUGCGGGGAAAAGACACCUCAAAUUAUUCCCCAUAUGAGAGAGAAGGAAUGAUUGAAAUGUACGAAAGGGUUGUCCGGAACUGACUUACUUUGGAUGAUAAGGCACGAGGACAAUUUCCCGGUCCUUAUUCUGUACCAUGAAGUUUUGGAGGUACUCCCUAGCAGUUUCACGCUCAAAGUCGCCGAGACUCAAGAAAGACUCGUGCAUGUAGUACGGAUCCGCCACACAGAUUUGCGAGACUUCUUCACUCUUCACGACGGAGCUCAUAUGUAGCGCAAAAAGGCGGACGAUAGUAAAAUCAAGCCGCCUUGUUAGAAACAUCUCAAAGAUAUGGUCAAACCGCAGGAAGAACACCUCCGUGGGCCGUGUGUCGACGUAGCACUUCCCCUCAGGCACACGAGCUGCGUAUGUCGGAUAUCCUGGAUCCUUUGAGGCUAGUAGGCUUUUCUCAGUCGACAGCACGUGGUCGUGCAGUCUCCUGAGAUUCCCUGAUAGUGCCUCCAGCGGUUUCGGCGGUAGCAUCGGCUCGCCCGUGAGAUGGAACAUGACCGCACCUUUCACGGGUACACGCUCUUCAGAAUGCAUCGUCUGGCUGCUGUGUGCUCUGGCUUGUUUGGAGGCAGUUACCUUCCCCAAUCUCUUCCUCUCCUUUUUCUUGGGCACACCUUCCAGACCCUUCCUUAACCCCUGCCCAAGUGUUCCCGGGCUAAGUAUUGUACGACCCUCACGCCCGGCUAGUUGAGCCUGUGUUGAGGCGGCAUCUUCAGGCGUGUCCUGUGAGGAUUUCAUGAAGAGAGACUUUUUGCAUUCCAUGGUACGGCCCUGCCCGGGCAUAUCAUCCAUAUCCUCAUUAGCAAGCUGAUAGCCCGAUUCGUCAUAUGGUUGACUCAUCAUAUCUAUGUCACAGUCAUACGCGUUUGUAUUGAGGUAAUCCAUCGGGUCGACCUCCGUCUCAUCAUCCAUUCUCUGUUCUACAGGAGAAAUUACAUCAGCCAGUACUAUUGCACCCCCUUCAUCAUGUCGUCCGCCGCUCUCACACGGCACUACUACAGGAGCUGGUAAUUGCGUAGGUGGGGUGGUGGUCUCCGCACAUGCUUGCUGAUGUGUGGUAGUUAUUGGUGUGCUCUCGGCCGGCUCCAGACGAAUAAGAUUCUUCGGCCAUAGCAGCACCCAACCCUUGCAGCGUCCAAUCCGCGGCGGGGUCUCGUCGUCCGCUCCCACCUGCUGUACUGGAGGAGGCAAAUCCUCGUGCCCCGAUUUCACACUGGUCAAGCUAACCCUGAAGUGCCCAGCGGGGAUCGGCUGGUUGUGGAAUGUGCGUUGAGAGGGGUCCAUUAUCAUCCCCUUUCCCACGUCCACCUUCUGGCCUUUGAUCAAGUAGAGUAUGGUGCAUGGGGUUUCUUUCGCCUGCAAACACAUAUGUCUGUGGUGUAAAACAACCGAAAGGCAACAAAAAUGGAAUAUUAUAUAUAUAUAUAUGUUGGUGCGACAUGUAAUUACCGUGACGGCGUCGAGCUCAGCCAAAGACGAAGGCCCACCUAGCGCGCCUGAGACUGAGGACGGGCUGCUAUGAGCUGGAGCGGCUGCGAGAGGAGGCCCGGUUGCUUGAGCAAGUGAUGGUGCGAUGGUGUUGUUCAUGGAGUUGCUCGCGACGAAACUGGGCAUUGGGAAAUCAUGUACCGUCUUGUCUGGAUUUUCCUUCGCCCAGUUGAUGAUAACUGGAACCAAGUUAGUAGCGAAAUCAUUUCUGCAGGCAUUUACAGCUGCAUUGACUGCCUGCUGUAGCAACUCAUAUUUGUCCUUGGCUGCUUUUUUCGCGUCCUCGGCUGCUUUUUUCUCGACCGCAAGCUUCACCUUUGCGUCGAUGUCCGCCUAACUAAACUUCUUUUUCUGCUUCUUGGCCUCCGGGCCGUCGUUGUAAAACACCUUCCACGUGGCGCCGUCUCCAGCGCCGUGCACACGACCAUAUUGCGGCCGCUGGUCCAACGGGAGUCCCUUAAGUUCGUUCAAGGCCCAGUUGAGAGGUGUGUCCCACUUGGGCCUCAUCGGAGAAGUAGGGCUUUCGGCUGCAAGCCGGUGUUGCUUCUCCAGUAGUCUAAUCAAUUUCCUCGUGAUCUUGUCCGUGUAAAAAACCUUUUUCUCCUUGUCCCACUUGUAGCGGGCCCUGAUGAAGUCAUGCUCCAAGGGGUUGGUGAACUUCGCGAAGGGGUCUGGGAGACCCGCGGCUUCACGUUCCGCGUCCUCCUUAUCCCAUAUGGGCCUUUUACCGAGGUAGCCACGGCUUCCGAGGCGAUGCUUCCCCAUGUUCCGGAGCUGAAGGCUUUUGAAUUUCGCAGCCUUAGCCUUGGCUGCCUUGGUAGCGCAAGUGUCCUUGAACUUUUCGAACUCCUCUUCCGUAAGUGUCGGAUUUUCCUCCAGAAUCUUGGACAGGGGUUCAUCAGCCUCAAUAGCUCGUUUCACCCUCCCUUUCCAGGAGGCCAAAUCAUUGCUGAACAUGCCCAUGGCGUGAUUGUUAAUCUUUUUCAUCUUCGGAUCAUCCCACGGUUGUUCUAUGUUAUCAUCCCGGUCGGGGAACUUGAAUCUCUUCUGCAACUUCGUUAGGAGCAACUGCGUCAAAUGUUCUUUACUCCUUAAGUCAUCAUCGUUGAUGCUCGCGCAUUCCCGUAGGAUGCAUCCUACUUGGUUCCCAUAGCACUUGCGAGGUUCUUCCGGCUCUAACGGCUCAAACUUUCCAGGUGCCAUCUUUGUGAUCACAAGUCGUCCAAUCCCUAGUUUGUUAGGUUUUCGUAUCCUCUGCUUCUUAUGCUUCCUCUUUUCGGUAUCGGCAUCGGGGCCGGUACCUUCCCCGCCGGUCUCGGCGCCGCCAUCGGUGCCGGCGCCGUCGGUGCCGGCACCGUAGGUGUCGAUGUCGGCGUCAGUACCAUCAUCGAGGCCGACCUGCAAACCUUGCUUAGCAGUCAAAUAGUCGAGGUACUCUUGUUCACCCUCAUAAUCCAUCUCGUCUGCAUCUUGGUCAGAAGGCCCAGUUUCUUCGUUGUUCGACAUGUUUCCUAUGAUUAAGUGGCCUCAUUUAUUUCUAAAAGUAUGAAUAAAUGAGAAAUGACAUAAAAAGAAAUCUAUGUGCCAACACUCGAUAUGCCAACUAUGUAGCACAAAUCAUGCCUUUAUUCACGGGAAAUUUCGGCAUGACCUUUGCUAAAAAAUGGACAUAUCGAGCGCCUGAAAUUCACCGAAACGGAAAUGAAUCAACAUUCCUGCGCAACAUAGGCCACUCGGAUCAUUUUCCAAACAUGACAUGUCCAAAACAUGACAUAUGCACAUAUCACAUGUCCAGUUCAAAUUUCCAUAUAAAUUCAGCUAAUUCAUAACUAAAUAGAUAACCUAAUUAAUUAACAUGAAGANNNNNNNNNNNNNNNNNNNNNNNNNNNNNNNNNNNNNNNNNNNNNNNNNNNNNNNNNNNNNNNNNNNNNNNNNNNNNNNNNNNNNNNNNNNNNNNNNNNNNNNNNNNNNNNNNNNNNNNNNNNNNNNNNNNNNNNNNNNNNNNNNNNNNNNNNNNNNNNNNNNNNNNNNNNNNNNNNNNNNNNNNNNNNNNNNNNNNNNNNNNNNNNNNNNNNNNNNNNNNNNNNNNNNNNNNNGGGGGCGAGCGACAUGGUCGGGGGCGAGCACGCCGGAGUCGGGGUCGAGAGCGGGACAGGGGCGAGCGCCGGGGCUGGCACCGGCGCCGGCAGGGUCGGGGGCGAGCGCCGGGGCCGGGUCGGGCACGGCGGAGCGACGGGGGCCGGAGAGAGAGUGGGGAUUUGGGGGGAAAUGGCGGGAUGAAGCUGGGCGAGUGCGAAUUUUGGGUUAAGUGGACGUAGCAGUAGCGGGUUAUGUCAAAACGCGCUGCUACUAUAUUCUGUAGCGGCAGCGGUUUAUGAGAAACACGCUACUACUAUGGUGCGUAGCUGCAGCGCUUUAUGGGAAACUCGCUACUACUAUGGUGCGUAGCGGCAGCGGUUUAUGAGAAACACGCUACUACUAAGAUCUAGCAGCAGCGGUUUUGUGGAAACGCGCUGCUACUGCCGUCGCUACUGCCAGGUUUCCUUUUUCUUUUCCUUUAUUUUAUCCCACUUUUAUUUCCCGAGGGCAAUGAACGAAGGGAGGGCGAUAUAUAUUGCAUCAUUUGACGGUUAAAUAUGUAUGCAAAAUAGGAACAUAUAUAUUACACAUCAUUGGACCCAUGCAUAAUAAUGACUAAGUGUGUAUACAAAUUAAAUAGGAACAUAUAUAUAUUACACAUCAUUGGACCCAUAACAUACGUUUCCUCAGUGCUGACGUUUUCGUUUUUGAGUCAGCUUCUUUCCCUUCUUGUUCGUCGAAGAAUAAUUGAGCCCCUCAUUGUGACUUUGCCUUUUCCAUGGAGUACGAUUUUUCUUAGGUAAUGUAGUAUUGAUUCUUCUUUUGACGUAUACUUCAUCAUCAUCAUCAUCUUCCCUCAUUGGGUUGCUGUACUGAUCAUAGUCUUCCUCGUUGGCGACUCCAUCCAUUCCAAUGAUGUUCCUUUUGCCUCUCCUCACGACAACACGGCUGGGAUUGCGCGGGUCAGUUAUGAAGAAACAUUGUGUCACGUGCUUAGCGUGUACCCAUGGCUCGUUUUUUGCGAUAGCGUUCAUGGUAGCGCUCUUGGCGUCGGGUAUAGUCAUGGUAGUGAACAUCCGGCUUUCUCUUUCGACAUUCUUAGCCCAUCUGACACGGAACAUCAUCGUGCUGUGCAGUCCAGAGUAGUCAAGCUCCCAGAUCUCCUCGACCCUUCCAUAAAAUCGUUCAGUUGUGCCGUUGUCGCUGCCGGUCAUGCAUUCCAUCGUCACCCCUGAGUUCUGAUCAUCACUGUCCAUAUCUUUUGCCUCUGUGUAGAAUGUGUAUCCGUUGAUAUCAUAUGCCUGAUAGGUUACGAGGUUGGGCGAGGGGCCAUGUGCUAAGGCGUAUAUGAGCAAUCCGUCCUUAGAGCCCUCCUCCGGUGGAUUAGCAAUAAUAUGCUCUUUGAACCAAUGCAGGAAAGUGGAGUUGUGCUCUCUAGUAACUUCGGCGUCCGUCCUGCAUACCCCCCGGUCACGAUACUUCUUUGUGAUAAUUUCUUUGUGCAGUGCCACGAAAGGAUCUACCUCGUCUAGGUGUUGUAGCACUACCAAGUUUGCUCUGUCAAAGUCGCUGCGUCGAUCUGAGUAUGCCACGUGCAGUUCCCUGCGACCGUUGCAGUGACCAUCUCCUUUGAGCCUCCCAUCGUGCUUGUUAACGGGCAAACCAACACUAACACCAGGCGGCUGGUCUGCGCCAUAUAAAAAAUUCUCACAGAAAGAGAUGCACUCUUGUGCCAAAUAGCCCUGGACGAUGCUUCCAUCCGGACGGGACAUGUUACGAACGAAUCCUUUGAUGAUCCCAUUCAUCCACUCAAACGGGAUCAUGUUGUGCAGGAAUGACGGCCCCAGGUCUAUUAUGUCAUCCACAAUAUGGACACACAGAUGCACCAUCACGUCGAAGAACGCGGGCGGGAAGUACAUCUCAAGCUCAUUCAGUAUCACAACGAUCUCUUCCUGUAGCCUUUGGAGCUGCUUCACACUGAUCGACUUUCGAGAGAUGACAUCGAAAAAGUUGCAGAGACCAAUAAGCGUGUCACGGACGUGCUUGUCCAUUAUCCCUCUAAGGGCAACAGGUAGUAUCUGCGUCAUCAUCACAUGACAGUCAUGAGACUUCAUCCCGCUGAACCUUUUCUUGUCCGUGUCUAGAUAUCUGCUUAUCUUGCCACAGUAACCGGAACUAACUUUCACUCCGGUAAGGCACUUAAAGAAUUGAUUGAUCUCAGCCUGACUUAAGGUGAAGCAAGAGGGGGGGCAAUAAUCUUCUUUCUUUAAUUUCUUGCCCUUCUUCUCCCGUGCCUCUGUCUUCGUCUCUGUCUCGUCUGACAUUUUACGGGGCGGCAUCUGCAGAUCUUCCCUGAUUUUCAAAUCUUGCAAGUCUUUUCUUGCCUUCGGCCCAUCCUUGGUCUUAUCCGGCAUGUUCAUCAGUGUUGCGAGCAAGCUCUCAAGGACAUUCUUACAGAUAUGCAUUUGAUCAAGGCAAUGAGGUGUAUCGAGUUUGUGCCAGUACUCCAAGUCCCAGAACACGACCUCGUCUUCCAUACCUUCAGCAGCGGCUCCGGCGCCUUUCUCAUCGUCUUUCCCGGCGCGGGGCACUCAUUCCAGUUUUUCAAUAGCUCAUCGAUUUCGGCACCGCUCCGCUUACGUGGAGGUCCUCGAUGCUCAGCGUGACCAUUGAAUAGAUCUCCACGGUUUCUCCACGGGUCGUCCUGUUCAAGCCAUCUUCGAUGCCCCAUGUACAUGAUUUUCGCAGACCCGCCAUCUUUCCUUGACGUUAGCUGCUGAGACGUUGUAUCAUCCAUGCACCGCGUGCAUCCGCAAUAUCCAUGGCACACCUGGCCUGCCACAUAUCCGUAACCGAGAUAGUCCUGCACUGUCGUGAUCAGCGCGGCUCUCAUGUUGAAAUACUCACCUUUGCUGGCGUCCCAUGUCUUGGCCGGUGUUUUCCAUAACGUGUCUAACUCCUCUUGAAGUAGCCCCAGAUACAAAUUAAUAUUAUUUCCUGGUUGUUUCGGCCCUUGAAUAAGCAUGCUCAUGUGAAUGUACUUCGAUUUCAUACACAACCAGGGGGGGAGGUUGUACAUCCAUACAAACACGGGCCAUGUACUAUGGUUGGUGUUCUAGUUGCCAAAUGGAUUCAUGCCAUCGGUACACGCGCCGAGCACGAUGUUCCUUGCAUCACAUUCAAAAUACCGUUAGAAGCUGUUCAACGCUCUCCACUGGCUUCCAUCCUUCACGUGUCUCAGCUUCGGAUCAUCUCCAUCGUCGGGCUUCUUCCUCUCCGCGUGCCAGCGCAUUAGCUUUGCUUCCUUGGGAUCUACAAAAUACCUCUGAAGACGGGGAGUGAUCGGUAAGUACCAUACAACUUUCUGGGGACAUUUCUUCCCGGCCUUCUUGUAUCGAGAAGCAUUGCACACCGGACAGCUUGUUUUUUCCGCGUGCUCCUUCCGAUAAAUUAUGCAAUCGUUGAUGCAUGCAUGGUAUCUAACGUGUGGCAGAUCAAGAGGGCACACGAUCUUCUUGGCCUCAUCAACACUAGUAGGACAUAGAUUACCCGCGGGAAGAAUAUCCUUUAGGUACUUGAGAUGGUCAUCGAGGCUAGUGUCGGUCCAUUUGUUUUUAGCCUUCGUCUUCAGGAGUUGGAGCGUGAAACUCAACCGGGUCACCUCAGGAUUGCAACCAUCAUACAAUGGAGUGUUCGAGUCUACCACCAGUUGCUCCAGCUUAGCCUCCUCUCUAGAAGCAGCUCUCUCAGUACUCGUCUCCUUGCGAAGCAAUGCUUGAACAUGAGGGUCCCGCACAAUUGAACUUAGUACCGACGAACUCUGCUGCGUGGAGUCCAUGUCGUUCUCUCCGCCGCCAUGUCCGGCCCCUUCUCCUCCGCCAUGUCCGGCCACUUCUCCGCUGCCAUGUCCGGCCUCUUCCCCGCCGCCAUUAUCGAUCAUCUCUUCGUCUUGCCCCGUGUCAUCAUUGCCUGCCCCGUCGGCAUCCUCAACAUCUUCAUCCUCAUCUUCAAUUAUCCACCGAGUAUAGCCAUCCAUGAAACCAGUCAUGAGCAGGUGCGCUUCGACACGACCAUCGUCAUGGGGGUCGAGCCAAACUAUUCCUUUGCAUUUUCAACACGGACAUAAAACCUCUGUCCGGUUAUUUUCUUUCAUGUCUUGCACCGCCGACCGCAACCACCUGUCCACCAUUGUUCCACUGACCAUCGUCAACUCUGCACGGUAAUAAUAAAAAAAUUGAUUGUAAAAAUGCAUGCAUGCAUCAAAGUCAUAAAAAAAUUUGGCAUGACCUUCCCUAAAAAUAGGACAUAUAUGGAUCUAGAGUUUGCCCGAAAUUCGCCGAAACGAAAAUAAAUCGACAUUUCGGCAAAACAUAGGCAACUCAAAAGCACAAUUUGGCGGCGUCAACUCAUGCCACAGACACAAUUUCCACAAACAUAUCACACAUACACAUAAACACAUUUCCAUUUUGCAAAAGCAUGAAAUUUUCAUCACCUCUAUCUCGAUGGCCGGAGAUGAUGUUGUAGGGAGAUCAAAAGUGCACAAAGCUAUUCUUGACAAAGAUAGAUCUAGUUAGGGGGCAAAUAGGUCACUUAACUAAAUCCUACAUCUACCUAGCUACCUAAUUUGGAAGGAGACAACUUCAACUAGUGGAGGGGGAGGAAAAAGAGAAAGAAGAUGCAUUAAUUAAUGGAGGUGGUGUAGUUAUGUAGGAGUAAUGAAGAGAGAGAAGGUGGAUAGAGAANNNNNNNNNNNNNNNNNNNNNNNNNNNNNNNNNNNNNNNNNNNNNNNNNNNNNNNNNNNNNNNNNNNNNNNNNNNNNNNNNNNNNNNNNNNNNNNNNNNNNNNNNNNNNNNNNNNNNNNNNNNNNNNNNNNNNNNNNNNNNNNNNNNNNNNNNNNNNNNNNNNNNNNNNNNNNNNNNNNNNNNNNNNNNNNNNNNNNNNNNNNNNNNNNNNNNNNNNNNNNNNNNNNNNNNNNNNNNNNNNNNNNNNNNNNNNNNNNNNNNNNNNNNNNNNNNNNUGUGGUGGAGGGAAGAGAGGAGAGGGGGAGGUAGGGGGGAAGGGAAAAAAGGAAGGGGGAGGGGAGGGACGGGUUGGGGGUUGGUGGGGUUAGCAGUAGCGCGGGAGAUAAAACGCGCUGCUGCUAAGAACUUAGCAGCUGCGCGCUUUGCGGUAAGGCGCUACUGCUAACUGGGACAAAAAAUUGUGGCAAUUUGAAACUUACCAGCAGCGAUCUCGAGGAAACCGCGCUACUACUACGUACUUAGCAGUAGCGCUGUUAUUGCGACCGCGCUACUGCUACUUAGAGUUGGGGGAACACCGCCGGUCGAUAUUUGUAGCAGCGCGUUUCUUGUCGAGCGCGCUACUGCUAAAUCUUUAUCAGUAGCGAGUUUACGUAACCCGCGCUACAACUACUUAGCAGCAGCGCUCUAUUUUGAACCGCGCUGCUGCUAAGAUUCUGUGUAUAGGCUUUUCCCUAGUAGUGUAGGAAGGAAUGACCACAUGAAUGAGCAUACGUAUGAUGUGAUUAAGUCUCUCGAUUGGGUAUCUGGUGCCUUAUGUACGGUGUCUUCUUUUUGUCAAGCUAUGACAUCUUUCAGUUUGAGUGUCUGAUAUUAGGGUUGCAUACGUUUUGUUAUUCAGUUGCCUGUUGUGAACUCUACGGUUAUAUCAUCUCGAUGUGUGAGUCAAUGUGUUUGAACCAAUGUAGAGUUUCAUGUGAAUGUUACAAGUGUGAUUGAUAUGUUCAUGUUAUCCGCGGUUGCCUUGGUAAGAAACUGAAAGAGCAAACCGUUAUCGUGCUAGGACAAAAGUCAUCACUCAAUAUAAGUGCUUCUCUAGAACAGCCACACCUUGUGAAAGAAGAUGGCAAACACCCAAUCAUGUCUGGUUCGAUAUGGGCGUGGCUAUGGGUAGCUUAUAGCGACAUGGAAGCCAGCAUCGCUGGAAGAAACGCCCGGGUGGGCCGGCCUAGAGACAUUUCUUGAUAUCUACCCUUAGUUUUGUUUUUCUGCCCUUCUUUCUUUAUAUUUAUAUUUUUCCCGACAUGUUCACUACUUGAUGCUCAACUGGGAUCUCAUCCUUCACAAAUACGGAGAGCCAUUAUUGUUAGAGUUAAUCUUGACAUGUGUGUAUGUGCAUGUGUGCAUUGCAUGUUAGUGGUCUAGAGAUGGCCGGGUCGAUGCGUCUGUUCUGUGCUGGAGUGAGUCCAGCAGUUUGUUUUGGUCAGGUCGUGGUGGCUAGAGCCAUUCUAGGAGAGGAUCAAGUCAAGUUGUUAGCUGAACUCGGCUGGGUAGUGUUUGGCCGUUGAGGAUAGGCUGUACUAGUGGUGGGCAUGGCCGUGCAUAUAGCUAGCGAUUAGUUACACUAGUAGAAAACCACCCAUUAGUCCCGGUUCGUAAGGGCCUUUAGUCUCGGUUCAGGAACCGGGACUAAUGGGUCGUUACUAAUACCUCCACCCAUUAGCCCCGGUUCAAACACGAACCGGGACCAAUGUGCCUCCACGUGGCCCUGUGCGGCGAGCCCAGUCAGGGGGCCUUUGGUCCCGGCUGGUGGCUCCAACCGGGACCAAAAGGCAUCCACGCGUCUGCAUUCUAGUGGUUUCUGGUUUUUGUUUUUUUUUUGAAAGGAGGGGGGUUGGGGGUUUUGGGGAGUUAAUUUAGGUGUUUCGUAUAUUGUGUUAACUAGCUAAUUAAUAGAGAGAAGUGUCCUCUCUUAUGUCCGUGCUUGGUCGACGCUACGUAGUAUAUAUACAUAAGUAAUCGAGAGAACCAUUCAGUACAGAAGUUCGUCAUGCAUACCGAGAGAAGUGAUCGAUCGACCUCUCCUUCUCCGAGAGAUUGGUCGAACAACAAGUUUUUUACUGGCUACAUACAUGUACAAUAUGUAUAAGAUCUCUUAAUUACAAACCCAUAGCAUUUGAAAUCAACUUCCACAUGGUAUUCUCCGGCUUUACUGAUGACGUGUUCAAGAAAGAAUCCCGCUAAUUCCUCUUGAAUUGCUUUCAUGCGAUCUGGUUCUAGGAGUUCACCCCGCAUCUGCCACGUCUAAUUAAUUUGAAGAAGGGGGUUAAUUAAUACAUAUAUAUGAAUGAAACUCAACAGAAAAUGAUGGUGUAAUAAAAUGAAAUUGUGAAUAUUAUUGCUUACGCACUUCAUAUUGUCUUCUAGAGUAGCCCCGCUUGUUUCUCAAAGUUGCGUUGUGGAUGAACUCGCACACGUAGUAUCCACAAAAAUCAUUCCCUUCCUCCUGUCACAAGCACUUUACGAGAAACAGAGGUCAAUCAAACUGAUAAUGAAGCAUUAUAAAUGGCAUUGAUGAAAGUAUAGCUAUAGAAUCAACGGGAGAUGCACGCAACUAGCUAGCCAGUAGUACUUACUUUCGGGUAUACAUAUCGCAGCUCCUUCGGCAGUCCCGGAGCUUGUGCGGUGAACUGUUUCCGAACCCUGCAAGACAAAGAAAAUAAUUAUUAUUACUUGAGAUAUCAGGAAAUGAACAAAAAGUUGCCGAUAUGGUGCGAUAAUGAUCGAUUGAACUUACUUGCUGAGCAUUUCAGUCAUGUCCACAUAGGUGCUGGGAUCUUUCCGUCUCGAGUCUAAGACGGUUACUAGUCCACGCUCAAGCUUAAUCUCCAGAAGAAUAUAGUGGUACCUGCGCACGCGUGCAUAACUCAUCAAUUACAUUAACCUCGCUCGAGUAAUAAGGGAAACCGAAUAUGCACACGACAGUAACACUCACGGGCCGUUGUAAGGAAAGAGUAUGGUAUCUUUGUUUUGAUUUUUGAUCAACGAUUGUAGCAAGUUGUCCUCGGCCUCUUCGACGUUCUUUUCAACCAGAAAUACAUCUAUGAUAUUUGUGUUAAUGAACCCAAUAUCAUAAAUUUUUUGUUUUUUGCACUCGACGAUCUUCAAUCUGCAUAAUAUAUUGAGGAUAAUUAAUUAUAAAUACAUGCAAUGAAAGAUCCGAGCUAUAUAUAGAGACUUAAUGUCAGAAAUAGUACUUACAUGCAGUAGCAAAAGACCAUUAAUUUAUCGAGGGCCUUUUGAUUGAAGAACUCAAAGAACUCCUCAAAUGGAACACACAACAGAUCAUUUGAAAUGAGGUCGUGCUCCUCUUUAAUAUUCAAAUACAAACUGUUCGUCCCCUCAGACUCUCUGCAGGUUUUCAUGUACCAAUUAUGGAAUCUUCGCAUCAUUAUUGUCAGAGAUUUUUCAUCUUUGACGAGAGGCUUCCCGUACUCGUAUCUGAAUACGUCCACCUCCAUGAAAUCAGGAAGUGCAUCGUCAGGCAGGUAAUCUUCAAGAUUGCCAUAACCGGCCACCGUCCCCGGAGGAUUAGACACAUUGAGCGGGGGGCACGAUUGCUGUGCUUGUUCGCCGAGCUGGGCAAUUUUUUUCCCCUUUGCUCGUUGUUCUUUUGACCUUUUAUCAUUGACAGUAGUUCCCGACCGCUUGGCUUGGAGAUAUGUCUGUUCAGUAAUGCGCUCAUAGUUGGUUCUCGGCGGAGACUUUGGUGGUUUCCUCAGGGCAUCGAGAGUGCGCUUUGCUUUCACCGGAUCUACCUUCUCCUCCGGAGGUGGAUGUCUCUUUGCUUUCACCCCUUCAAAGAACUCCUUCACGUGGGCCUGCACGAUCGUAUUGUUUUCCUCCUUGGUCCUCUCGUACGGUAACUUCUCUAGAGGCUUUAGAGGUGGACCGUAUCUGUAUUGCCUCUCUCUUCUUGUGCUGCUAGACGCCGGAGCAGACGGAGCGGCUGUGGCGUCUGUCUUCUUCCGUGCUUGCUUAUGAGGCGGAGGAGAAGGACUACGACGCGCCGGAGCAGCCGGGGCGGCGGCGGGUCUCUUCCGCCCUUGCUGGCGAGGCGGAGAGGAGGAGGCGGAGUGCCGCCACAUGCCGGAGAAGGAGGCGGAGUGCCGCCAUGCGUGCCCUGAUCGUCACUCGCCGGAGGAGGAGGCGGUGGAGGAGGCGGAGUGCCGCCACGCGUGCCCUGAUCGUCACUCGCCGGAGGAGGACGCGGUGGAGGAGGCGGAGUGCCCUGACUCGCUGAAAGAGGAGGAGGAGGCGGAGGCGUCCAGUUCAGAAGGUUGAUGAGCUCCUUCUGCCAUAGGCAUGGAGUCUUCAGAGCAGAACCCAGCCUAGUCUCCCCUUCACCGGUAGUGUGCUCAAGCACGAGGUCCUCAAAUCCCUCCGUUAUUUCAUCCACCAUCACCUUAGCAAAUCCUUCUGGAAUUGGCUGGCAGUGAUAAGUUGUGCCGGGUCCACUAGGAUAAACUUGGCCAACAGCCGCCUUGACCUUCAAAUUCAUCCAUCACACAAUAAUGUGGCAAUUUUGAGACUCCGUGAUACCAUCCACGGGAUAGCUGGCAGGAGCCGUCAAGACAUGCUCCGGCUGAAGCAGCUCAGUGGAAGCCACGCUGCUUCUCUGCUGAGAUGGCGGGGUAGCUUCGGGGGAAGCUUCGGCAGGUCGUUUGUUGUGAUCUGCUGCUUCUUGUUCCUCUAGCCCCAUUACCCUUUCGUGCAGCGCCUGCAUUUGGUCCUGCUCCAGUUUCUUCCUCCUCUCGUAGGCUUUGUAAACGCCUGCGUCCAGAAAACCAACCUUCCACGGAAUGGAGCCUGGCGUGCCUCGUGUCCGUCCAGGGUGCUCGGGAUUCCCAAGGGCCAUUGUGAGCUCGUCCUUCUCCCUGUUUGGAAGGAACGUCCCUCGUUGUGCUGCAUCGAUAUAGUGUCGAAGGUUCUUGACUGGUGUUUGCAGUUGCUCGUCCGUCCACUGACGCUUCCCUGUUACAGGGUCCAAGGUUCCGCCAGCCCCGAAGACCCAAGUCCGGCAACGGUCUGGCCAGCGCAUUGUCUCUGGUUCGAUUCCUUUUUCAAGCAGAUCAUGCUCAGCCUUGGACCACUUAGGCCGGGCUUUGAGGUAGCCACCUGACUCCGUGCGAUGGUGAAGCUUCUUCUUCGCAGCAUUUUUCUUGUUUGUCUCCGACAUCGUCUUACUCUUUUCCGAUGUCUUGUGGGCCACAAAUGCGGGCCAGUGAUCUUUGAUCUUCUCAUAUUUGCUGAUGAAUUCUGGUGUCUUUUUUUUCUCGAGAAACUGGUUCAGCUCUUUCCUCCACCUCCUCAUUAGGCUUGCCAUCUUCUUAAGAGCACAAGACUUGAUUAAUUGCUCUUUAACUGGCUUCUCCGGAUCCUCCUCUGGCGGUAGGGUGAAAUUUGCCUUCAGCUCAGUCCAAAGAUCUUCUUUCUGCAUAUCAUUGACAUAAGACACCUCAGGGUCUUCAUCCUUAGCAGGCUUAUACCAUUGCUGGAUGCUGAUCGGGAUCUUGUCCCUAACAAGAACCCCGCACUGAGCAGAAAAUGCCUUCCUUGUCCGGAUGGGUUCAAUCGGUUCGCCGUCGGGCGCGAUUUCUAUGAUCUCAAACUUUUCAUCCGAGAUCAACUUUUUCUUCGGGCCUCGUCUCCUUACCGAAGUUGUGCUCGAUCCGGAGGGCUAGAAAUUAUAAGGAAGAAAGACGACAGUAAUUAAUAUGUGUACAUAUACCAAAACAAUGGAUGCAUCAAUUAACUAGUCAGCACGGGCUUAACUAAUAUAUAUAUACCUGGCCGGACUCGGUUCGGUGACCGGAGCAGUCAGCACGGUCUCCUUGUACCUCCAUUGUGUCACCGGAGCCAUCAUGAACAUAGUCCUCCUCUUGUACCGGCAUUAAUGGGUCGAAGCCAUCAUAAACAUAGCCCUCUUCUUCAUCCAGUCCUUCCAGCUGACCAUCGGUGUCGAUGAGAAAUGACGCAACAUCAUCACUUCCAUUUGCGAUUAUGUCCCCCAACAUCGCUUCUGUUUCUUCGUCUCGGGAGUGCUCCAUAGUUUCUGCAAAUAUUUACAACAUGUCAAUUAUUAUUCAAACAUGGUACAAAUGGAUAUAUAUAUAUAUAUAUAUAUAUAUAUAUAUAUAUAUAUAUGAAAAUGGAUUGGUACUCCUAGGAGUACAUACUCUCACCUACACCCGUCAUCGUUGGAAACAUUCAUCCCGCUAACUACUAAAAAAAGAGCUAACUAACUACGGAUAAAGCCUUUGGAUUUAAAAAUUAGUUGAACCGCUUCCUUUUUUUUCAGCUCUCGUAGGCGUGCCUUCCAGGGAUUCCAUUUGAAACGGCGUUCUCAUCUCUUGCCAGCACCCAUGAACAUAAAAAAACAGAGCAUCGGCUCGCCUCCGCCCCGCCGACUGACCGGAAGACUUGGUCGACAUGGCCGACGAUGAUCCCCGUGCUUCUUCCCUCGCAAACUAGGCUUCAACCACCACGUCCAUCAAUCAGAGGAAGAUUGAUUCAUCAUCUGUAGUUUGCGAGGGUACGUGCAAUUGAUGUUUCCCGAUUUUUCUGUUCGGCUACCACAACCGUGUUCAUGUUCCCGCUGACCCCUUGAUCCAUUCCUGUCCAGUAUGUCAUCGUCCGAGAAGAAAAUAGGACGGAGAUGAUUGAUCGGCCAGAUUGAUCGGCCAAGUCUACUAGUACCACUGGUGGAAAAAAGGCCUUUGGUCGCGGUUCGCAACUGCCAUUAGUCGCGGUUGCGCAACCGCGACCAAAUAAGCGCGACUAAAGCCCCCCACCUUUAGUCGCGGCUGCUUAAGAACCGCGACUAAAGGCCCGUCCAUGUGGGCGCCAGGCGGCCGUCGGGACGGAGGACCUUUAGUCGCGGUUCUUCUGGCCAACCGCGACUAAAGGCCGCCACAGGUUUAGGGUUUUAGCCCCCCCCCUAAACCUGUUUUCUGUUUAAUUUGUAUUGUUUUAUUUCUUUUGUGCUUUAUUUUAAUUUUGAAGGAGUUUCAUAUAUUCUACGGUACUACAUACAUGCAUAUGAAUGUACAAUUUCAAAUAAAUUUGAAAUUAGAACCAAAAAGAAUUCAAGAGGAAUAUACAAUAUAUAUUCAAUAUCAUCGGAUGACCAUAUACAAUUUUGAACAAGUUUCCAUACAUGAUUUAAUGCAUAUAAAGUUCUACGUCCUCGUAAUAGUGUUCUCCUUUAGGAUGGAGGACUUCCCUGCUGAACCAUCCAGCUAGUUCCUCUUGAAGUGGUCGGAAGCGAGCUUCUGGACUAAGCAUCCACCGGAGGUUAUUCCUCUGAGCAUUGGUAUCACUCGGAACCCGCUCAGAGGUGUAUCUCCGGAUCAUCUCACAGACAUAGUAUCCACAUAGAUUGGUCUCCGGUGGCUGAAUAUCCCCAGCAUUCUUAGCCACUGACCUUUUGAAUUCUAGCUCUUUUUUGAAUUCACCGACCUUUGUAUCUACGAACCGUCUCCAAACCCUACGAGGCAAAGAAAAUUAAAUGAACAAGAGAGUUAUUAGUUACUUGAUAUUAGGAAAUGAACGAAAUAGGCCGAUUGAUAUAGAGCGCAAAUGAAUGAAAAUAAUUACUUCUGCAGCAUUCUUCUCAUGCCGCCCCAAAGCUUUGGAUCCAUAUUCACAGAGUCGUGGACGAGACAUUCUGAGGUGUUAACUUUAAUUACUAGCAGAAUCCAGUGGAACCUGCGGACACGAUACAUGCACAGUACGUCAUGCAUAACUCAUCGAUUAGCCGGCCACAUACCAUGCAUGGAGUAAACAAAAGAGAAUGUGCUCAAGACACAAACACUCACCCAAAAUGGUAAGGAAAUAGAAUAUCACUUUUGAGUUCCUGCUUUGUAAGAAACUGCCACAGGUCUACCUCCACGUCGGCGGGGUGACGCUCCAACACAUGUCCAUUAACGAUGUGUGGGUCAAUGAACCCAACAUCAUGGAUGUUCCUUACUCUGCAUUCCUUAAUCUUCAUUCUGCAUGUAUAAUAGCGGACACAACAAUAUAGUUAGGACAUAUAUAUAGUGCAGGCAAUAUGAACGAGAUGGGGUAGAAAUUAAUAAAUCACUUACAGAACGUAGCAACUGAUGAUAGAUUUAUCGAGCUCGCGCAGAUUGAAAAGCUGGAACAAUUCACUCAGUUCAAUUUGUACAUAGUAAUGUUUGAAGUGAUGCUCAUGUCUAACUUCCGCAUAAAUAUAUUCUUUGGCGUUUUUAUUUUUUAUGUAACCCUUGUACCAUUUCAGCAGACCUUUCAUUUGUGGAGGUAGAUCCUUUUCCUGCGCAGGCUCGACGAGAGGCCCAUUCUUGACAUAUGUAAUUACUACCUCCUUCACUGGCGCCUCAUCAAGGCCUAACAGUUCACGAAGAGUAAUACCUAAGUUGGCCGCUUGUUCUAUGGCACUCGUUACAGUCAAUCCCUGUGCUGCCGCAGCUUGUAUGAUCUCGGGGGCAUCCGGACAGAAGGCUUCCACUAUAAGCGGGGCAAUCGAUUGUUUACUUUGUUCCCCGAGCUGGGCAACUUGUUUCCCGCUUUUUUUACUUUCGGCCUUCUCCCGCUCUUUGUUCUCCUUGAACAUGAGUGCCUGCCUGCGAAGUUCACGUGCAUAGUCGUUAGGCAGAUUCUUCGCGGCUUGGGACGGUGUGCUCAAAAAUGACUUAGCCCACUUGUUUUGCUCAUCAGAAAAUACUGGCUUGGGCUCGAGCUCUCUUUUCUUCUUGCAGUCCGCCUUCCAUUUCUCCAAAUCAGCAGCCGCGGCCGCGUCGACUUCCUCGGCACUACGUUCCCAAGGCCUUGUGGGGAGAGGCUUCAGUGAUGGCUCCGGUACCUUUGUGGUCUUAGGUACAUAAGGGUCCGGGUUAAUAAUCCAGGACUGCUUCUGCUUCUUUGCCGGAGGUGGAUUGGGGGGCGGCGUCUGAUCACCCGCCGGACGAGGACUGGGGGGCGGCGGCUGAUCACCCGCCGGACGUUGUGGACUGGGGGGCGGCGUCGGCUGACGUGACGGAGGUGUAGGUGAACCGCCACCACCACCACCACCACCACCACCGCCACCGCCACCACCACCACCGUAGGGGGGUGGACUUGUUGUCCUUGGCGCCUCGCCUGGAAACUUGAUAAACUUCUUUUGCCAUAGAAUGAAAUGGCGCUUGACAUCUCCAAGUCUUUUCUCCCCUUCAGGUGUAGCAAUGUCAAUCUCCAGGUCCUCAAACCCUUGGACUAUGUCCUCCACCGUGACACGAGCAUAGCCAUCUUGAAUGGGGUUGUUGUGGUGGAGUGCUCCAGGUAAACAUGGUAAAGCACUGCCGAUGGCUACCUUCAUGGACAUGUUCCCGAUAGGAUAAUACAGAUGACAUUCUUCUCCGCUGCUGGCUUCCGAGAUCUGCUGGAUGAUCUUCAUGCUGCACCCGAGCUGCAUCUCUUUCGGCUACUAGUACACUCAUGGUUUUCUUCAUCACAUCCAUUUCCGAUGCCAACCGCGCCACAACAUCUGCUUCCCGAUCCACCUUUCUCUUACGGCUUCUGUAACCGUACGGGUCAUCGUUCUGGGGGAACCCUAUUUUCCACGGAAUGUGCCCCAUGCCUCGUACACGUCCUCCGUGUUCAGGAUUCCCGAGGGAUUUUGUCAGCGCGUCGUUCUCUCUGUUGAACUUGAUCUUCCCCUGUUGAGCAUCCCUCAUUGCGUUAAUAAGGGCUUGGGUGGGUUUAAUUAAUUUGCCCCGGUAAACACACUCCCCUGUCUCCGGGUUCAGCGUUCCCCCAUGCCCGUACCACCAACUUUUGGCCCUUGGGUCCCAUCCCUCCGUACCUGCACGGAUUCCUCGCGCCCUCAGCUCGUUCUCCAUCUUCUCCAACCUAGGCACCCAAAUGCGAUACCCUCCUGGCCCCAUAACAUGAUUGUACUCCUUCUUAGCCGCAUUUUCCUUAUUUUUUCGAUAUUUGAAUGAACUGCUCCGAUUUCUUUUGCUUCACAAAUUCUGGCCAAUCAUGUUUCAGUUUCUCAUAUUGUCCUUUGAAAUCCGGAGUCUUGUUCUGCUUGACAAAGUCAUGGGCUAGAUUUUGCUUGAAUUUCCGGAAUGCGUCGGCCAUCUUAUGAAGAGCGAACUGUUUGACUAGCCUCCUCCUCUCCUUGUUUUCUUCAAUCUUGUUACCCUCCUCAUCGAAUUUGUUGUAUUCCGGAGGUAGAACGAAAUGUUCCAUAAGCUUCUUGAAGCAAUCUUUUUUUGUUCUCUUAUCGACAAAAGUGAAACCAUCAAUUCGUGCCUUCUUUGGCUCAUUCCACUCCUGGACGGUGAUCGAGACGUUGUCUCUAACAAUGGCUCCGCAUUGGCUGACAAACUUGGUGGCGUUCUUGCGGGGCUCCAGCGGCCUGCCGGUUGCACUGUCGACAACCUCGAUGGUGCAUGUUUCUCCUUGUUUCAUCGUCUUGGUUGCGCCACGCUUUGACGACGUACUCGAUUGUUUCGACGAUCCGGCCGAGGGCUAAAAUAAGAAAGAGUCGCGCGCGUUAGUACACACAUAUUUAUUCAAAUCAGUUAGUUUGUAUCACCAGAGGCUCAAUGUAUAUAUAUACCUCGGCGCCGGAGGUGGUUGCUACAUCCAUUUGAAGAUCGUCGUUUAUCGACGUUUGUUCGGCAUCAUCUUGCUGACGGCGCCCUUCAUCUUCACCGUCAAGGUUCAGAUAAGAAGAGAUAUCAUCUUCUUCUUCUCCGGUCGGCACAUAUAGAAUAUCGCCGUUUAUGAUGCCGAACAUAUGUGCUUCACCGUCCGGAUCAUAGUUGUCCAUAAUCGGGUCAGCUCUAUCGUCCGCCAUUAUGUCAGUCCUGAAAACAUGUAGUAAAAACAAAUUAAUUAAGUGAAGAAGGGGGGCGGUGGCGGUGGCGGUGGCGAAAGGGUGGUGGCAAAAGGAGGGGGCGAGGAAGGGGUGGGAGAGGGUGUCGCGGUAGAGCGCGAGACGGGGCGGCACGAACGUCAUUUUGUGAAGAAACUUUGCAAGCAAUUAAACAUUUGUCAAUGUUUGGUAAAAAAAAUACAGGUAGCGUCUGUUGCUCCUAAUGAUUGGAAACGGUUUCCAAUUGCCAACGAGGAUUUAGAUCGACUACUACUACUAGUUGCAUUGCUCCCCAUCGGGACGAUGUUGCUCCUAAUCCCCUCCUUUGGAAUCUAUAGUACUAGUGCAUACUAGCUGGCCGUUGACCGUUGUUGCUCAUCGCGUUUUCUCAAAGUCCACUGAUUUUGCUCAGGGCCAGUUCGGAGAUUUUGCUGGUCCACUGAUUUUGGAUCAACGCCGGGAUGGCAUGGGCGCUCGGCGAUGAUGCGAAGUAGACUUGCACAGGCAACGUGAUGUACAUGGAUGUGUCAGUACGGUACGCUCGGCGAUGCCACGGUAUGGAUGACUUCUCGAGUGGAGAUUGGAGAACCAAGUUCGCCGGUGAAACGUCGGCUCCUGAUCAGAUCUGGGGGUCGCGAACUAGCGAUUGGAUCUCGGAAGGGAGUUAGGAAAGCGAACAGACGUGCGUUCAAGGCUACAACUUUUUUUUUCAGGAUCUUGAAAACAGCUACGCGUUCAAGGCCCGGUCCUGAUUUUGCUCAUCUACCCGGGGCGGCGUUCGCACUGCGCGAGGGCCGACUCCGCGGGGUGCUGCCGCGUCGCCUCGUCGACGCUGAGCGAGUUGGCGAGGACCGUGUACAUGGUCGGCACGUCGCCGGCGGAGAGGGUCAUGCUGUCCCCGACCAGCGGCGGCCACGGACGGGGAGGGCGGCGGCGGUGACUGGGAAGGAAUGAUAGGAGAGGAAGGAAGGUCGCGUGGGGUUGAGGGCGGNNNNNNNNNNGGCGAGGAGGGACUCCUUGGCGGAGAGGCGCUCCGUCUCGCGGGCGUAGCUGGCAGCGGGCUCCCACGCCUGCGCGUACACGUCGUCCCGCCGUGCGUUCAAGGCUACAACUUUUUUUUUUAGGAUCUUGAAAACAACUACGCGUUCAAGGCCGGCCCGGUCCUGAUUUUGCUCAUCUACCCGGGGCGGCGUUCGCACUGCGCGAGGGCCGACUCCGCGGGGUGCUGCCGCGUCGCCUCGUCGACGCUGAGCGAGUUGGCGAGCACCGUGUACAUGGUCGGCACGUCGCCGGCGGAGAGGGUCAUGCUGUCCCCGACCAGCGGCGGCCACGGACGGGGAGGGCGGCGGCGGUGACUGGGAAGGAAUGAUCGGAGAGGAAGGAAGGUCGCGUGGGGUUGAGGGCGGGCGAGCGAGGCGGCAGUACCGAGGCUGGCCGGCGGCGCGCGCGCGGUGGGCGAGGGCGACGGCGGGCGGCGUCGAGGGCGAGGGCGACGGCGGGCGGCGUCGAGGGCGCGGCAGAGACGAACAGGCGAGAAACGGCGGGCGGCGUCGAGGGAGCCUUGUAUUUAUAGCCCCCCCNNNNNNNNNNNNNNNNNNNNNNNNNNNNNNNNNNNNNNNNNNNNNNNNNNNNNNNNNNNNNNNNNNNNNNNNNNNNNNNNNNNNNNNNNNNNNNNNNNNNNNNNNNNNNNNNNNNNNNNNNNNNNNNNNNNNNNNNNNNNNNNNNNNNNNNNNNNNNNNNNNNNNNNNNNNNNNNNNNNNNNNNNNNNNNNNNNNNNNNNNNNNNNNNNNNNNNNNNNNNNNNNNNNNNNNNNNNNNNNNNNNNNNNNNNNNNNNNNNNNNNNNNNNNNNNNNNNNNNNNNNNNNNNNNNNNNNNNNNNNNNNNNNNNNNNNNNNNNNNNNNNNNNNNNNNNNNNNNNNNNNNNNNNNNNNNNNNNNNNNNNNNNNNNNNNNNNNNNNNNNNNNNNNNNNNNNNNNNNNNNNNNNNNNNNNNNNNNNNNNNNNNNNNNNNNNNNNNNNNNNNNNNNNNNNNNNNNNNNNNNNNNNNNNNNNNNNNNNNNNNNNNNNNNNNNNNNNNNNNNNNNNNNNNNNNNNNNNNNNNNNNNNNNNNNNNNNNNNNNNNNNNNNNNNNNNNNNNNNNNNNNNNNNNNNNNNNNNNNNNNNNNNNNNNNNNNNNNNNNNNNNNNNNNNNNNNNNNNNNNNNNNNNNNNNNNNNNNNNNNNNNNNNNNNNNNNNNNNNNNNNNNNNNNNNNNNNNNNNNNNNNNNNNNNNNNNNNNNNNNNNNNNNNNNNNNNNNNNNNNNNNNNNNNNNNNNNNNNNNNNNNNNNNNNNNNNNNNNNNNNNNNNNNNNNNNNNNNNNNNNNNNNNNNNNNNNNNNNNNNNNNNNNNNNNNNNNNNNNNNNNNNNNNNNNNNNNNNNNNNNNNNNNNNNNNNNNNNNNNNNNNNNNNNNNNNNNNNNNNNNNNNNNNNNNNNNNNNNNNNNNNNNNNNNNNNNNNNNNNNNNNNNNNNNNNNNNNNNNNNNNNNNNNNNNNNNNNNNNNNNNNNNNNNNNNNNNNNNNNNNNNNNNNNNNNNNNNNNNNNNNNNNNNNNNNNNNNNNNNNNNNNNNNNNNNNNNNNNNNNNNNNNNNNNCGAGGAAGACCAAUCGGCUUAAGGUCAGGAACAAAGUCAACACAAAACUCAAUUACCUCCUCAUUUCCAUAGCCCUUGGCGAUGCUUCCUUCUGGCCUAGCACGGUUACGAACAUAUUUCUUUAAUACUCCCAUGAACCUCUCGAAGGGGAACAUAUUGUGUAGAAAUACAGGACCGAGAACGAAAAUCUCUUCGACUAGGUGAACCAGGAGGUGCGUCAUAAUAUUGAAGAAGGAUGGCGGGAACACCAACUCGAAACUGACAAGACAUUGGAUCACAUCGUUCUGUAACCAUGGUAGAACUUCUGGAUUGAUUACCUUCUGAGAGAUUGCAUUGAGGAAUGCACAUAGCUUCACAAUGGCUACUCGAACAUUUUCCGGCAGGAGCCCCCUCAAAGCAAUCGGAAGCAAUUGCGUCAUAAUCACGUGGCAGUCGUGAGACUUCAGGUUUUGGAACUUUUUCUCCGCCAUGUUUAUUAUUCCUUUUAUAUUGGACGAGAAUCCAGACGGGACCUUCAUACUGCUCAGGCAUUCAAAAAAGAUGACCUUCUCUUCUUUGGUCAGAGCGUAGCUGGCACGACCUUGAAACCAUUCCGGAUGCCGGUCAUCAGGGUCUUUCAAACGUUGCUGGUCCUGCCGUGCUUCCUUUGUAUCAUUUGUCUUCCCAUACACGCCCAAGAAGCUUAGGAGGUUCACGCAAAUAUUCUUCGUAACGUGCAUCACGUCGAUUGCAGAGCGGACAUCUAGGACUUUCCAAUAUUCUAGCUCCCAGAAUAUAGAUUUCUUCUUCCACAUGGCUGCGUUCCCGUCUGCUCCCUUCGGAACUGAUUGUCCGCCAGGACCCUUUCCAAAGAUGACUUUCAAAUCCUUGACCAUAUCAAAUACCUCAGCACCAGUGCAUUCCGCAGGCUUCGGCCGGUGAUCUGCCUUGCCGUUGUAAUGCUUGCCUUUCUUUCUUACUGGAUGAAUUUUCGGAAGAAAUCGAUGAUGCCCAAGGUACACGUUCUUCUUACAAUUUGGCAAAUGUACACUUUCAGUCUCAUGUAAGCAGUGCGUGCAUGCAUUGUAUCCCUUAUUUGACAGUCCCGAAAGGUUACUAAGAGCAGGCCAAUCGUUGAUGGUUACGAAAAGCAACGCUCGUAGGUCAAAUUCCUCUUGUUUGUGCUCAUCCCACACACGGACACCACCCCACAGCUGUAAAAGUUCAUCAACUAAUGGCCUUAGGUACACAUCGAUGUCGUUGCCGGGUUGCUUCGGACCUUGGAUGAGCACUGGCAUCAUAAUGAACUUCCGCUUCAUGCACAACCAAGAAGGAAGGUUGUAGAUGCAUAGAGUCACGGGCCAGGUGCUAUGGCUGGAGCUCUGCUCGCCAAAAGGAUUCAUGCCAUCCGUACUUAGAGCAAAUCUUAUGUUCCUUGCGUCAGCUGCAAAAUCUUUGAACCAUCUGUCGAUCUUUCUCCAUUGCGUUCCAUCUGCGGUGUGUCUCAACUCCCCGUCCGACUUACGGUCCUCUUUGUGCCAUCGCAACAACUUGGCAUGCUCUUUGUUCCUGAACAGACGUUUCAACCGUGGUAUUAUAGGAGCAUACCACAUCACCUUGGCGGGAACCCUCUUCCUGGGUUUCUGGCCCUCAACAUCGUCACCAGGGUCAUCGCCUCUGAUCUUAUAACGCAAUGCAGUGCAUAUCGGGCAUUCAUUCAAAUUCUCGUAUUCACCGCGGUAGAGGAUGCAGUCGUUGAUGCAUGCAUGUAUCUUCAGAACCUCUAAACCUAGAGGGCAGACAACCUUCUUUGCUUCGUACGUACUGGCGGGCAACUCGUUAUCCUUUGGAAACAUACUCUUCAACAUUUUCAGCAAGUUUUCAAAUGCCGAGUCAGCUACACCUGCCUCUGCCUUCCAUUUCAGCAAAUCCAGUGUGCAGCCCAGCUUUUUCAGACCAUCAUCGCAUCCGGGGUACAGCGCCUUUCUGUGAUCCUCUAACAUGCGAUCCAAAUUCUCCCUCUCCUUUUCAGUUUCGCAGCGUCUCCGUGCAUCAGCAAUGGUCCGACCAAGAUCAUCAACGGGAUCAUCACGUGCCUCUUCUUCACCUUCCCCUUCACCUUCAGCAUCCUCCAUGAAAGUAUCACCGAGAUGAGCAAGAUAGCUUUCAUCGAUGAAAUCAUCCCCUUCUUCAUCUUCUUCCAUUAUAACCCCUCUUUCUCCAUGCUUGGUCCAACAAUUAUAGCUUGGCAUGAAACCGUGCCGAAGCAGAUGCAUGUGAACAUCUCUUGAGGAAGAGUAACCCUUCUGAUUCUUACAGAUAACACAUGGACAGAUAACAAAAAACCCCUGCUUGUUCGCAUUAGCCACUACGAGGAAAUCUUUCAAACCCGUAGUGAACUCGCCGGAGAGUCGGUUACCGUACAUCCAUUGCCGAUUCAUCUGCAUUAUUAUAAUAUAAAAUAUAUAAUUAACCAUCAUGCAUUUGUUAAACUAACUAGCUACAAACAAUAUAAAUUAAACAAUGAACUGCACACAUGCAUAUUUUAUCAAUGACACAUCAAAGGUUCAUCAAGUUGCUAACCGCGAUCGAGGAGUGUGGCUCCAACACUUCAUGUCAUGUUUGUUUCAUGCUCUUGGGGCAUUUCAUCAAACACCUUAUGUGCAUAAGAGGAACCAAAAGCAAACCUACACCCACUUGUGAAGAGAAUGGCUCCAAAUGGCUAAGUGUUGGCUGCUGGAUGGGUAUAUAUAGGGGAGGGGCUUUAGUUGCGGUUGGCUUGGCAAACCGUGACUAAAGGUGCCCGAAGGCCUUUAGUCGCGGUUGUCCUGGCCAACCGCGACUAAAGACCCUCACGUGCGCCAGCUGGCCACCGAGCGCCCUGAGCCCAGGCCUUUGGUCGCGGUUCACCUCCAGAACCGCGACUAAAGGUCCCAUUAGUCGCGGUUCCUACAGCUUCGCGACUUAUGGGGCUGGACGGAAGCUUGUUUUUCCACCAGUGUACUAGGUAAGGUGUCGUUCCAGUCAAAUUGAUGAAUUCAUCUUUUGUUACCUUUGUUAUAGGAAUAUAGGCUGCAUUUAUUAGUCAUAUCGAGCUCUCAAGGAGUCAAGAUCUUGUUAACUUACUAAUAAUUUCUAUAUACCUGCAGCGUUAUGGCCUAUGGUGCAGGGCAAAGACAACAAGGACGACAUGCGGCGGCGACGUGGCCAUGGUGAAGCUACUUCGUCCGGCUACCCCAUGGUUGGCGUGUCUGCCGUCCUCUCAAUCUAUCACACGUACGUCCGGUGCAUGCAUGGUGUCGGGCCGAAGAGCACACAAAUCUACAUCCAGGCCCUGGGCACUAGCAACCGCUGAUGCACUUAGCCACUUACCAAUGUAUUCCUAUUGUACGUAUAUAAUAAAGUGGUUAGUACGUCGACGUAGAAAUAGUUAGUAGCUUGCUUUGCACUCACACAAUCGAGUCAUGAUUGUUACUGAUGAUCAAAAUUUUAUGUAUUUUUUAUGCCGGAUGGGUUUACUACUUCUUCUUCGGUUGUAUAUAAAGCUUCCAAAAAAUUAGUAUAUAAUCCUCCAGAAUAAAUCAGUAUAUAGUCCUCCAAAAAAAUGAGUAUAUACACUUUGUAACGCAGCAUAUACCCCAUAAAAAAUGUAGUAUAACGCUGCAGAAAUAAGACAUACUCCUUUUCUAGUUGCAUAUACCCAAUCACAAAACUACACUGAAAUAAUUAGUAGUACAUACUCCUUUUCUAUUUUGGAAAGGAACGUCCAUUUCCCUCUUCAACAAGUGCUUUAUUUUUCUAGGGGUAGCCUUGUGUUUUUACUGCCAUGCGACGACAUUACAAAAUGUAUUACACCCAUUAUUCAUCUAAUUUUUUAUAUACCCUUUUAUGCAUACUUUGAAUUUAUCACUCAUUUGGGCGACCAGCCCGCUCUCUCAUUGCAGCGACUCGACUCUCACAUAAAGCCAGUAUAUACUCACGUAAAAAAAAGCAGUAUAGACUCCCUUACUGAAAAAGAACUAUAUACUCCCCUACCAAAAAAAGUAGUAUAUGCUCCAUUACCAAAAAGGCAGUAUAUACUCAUAUACAAAAGGUGGUAUAUACUGUCUUCCCAAAGUAGUAUAUAUCUUUUUCCUUGCGUUAGAGAAGUAGUAUAACCAGAACAGAUAGUUCAUACUUGUGUGCUGAAAAAAGUAGUAUAUAAAUAUAUAUGUAAGAGUGAGUAUGGUAGAUAUGUAUCGGUCCUUACAAAAAAAAUCAACCACUGUUAUUGUUUAUUUGCACCGAACUAACCUUAUCUGUAUGCUAGGAUCCUUGAAUCUCUCAAUCUGUUGAUGCACAUGCAUGCGUCGGCCGGUGGAGCAAUUAGCAACUAGAUCUAAUAACUGCCAACCUGUUCAGUCCAUGGGAGUACAUACUCCUGGGAGUAUAAAAGAGGAGUCUAUAUAUAUAUAUAUAUAUAUAUAUAUAUACGGUGGCGCUAUUGUGUGCGUGAGCGCAGAUUUACUUAUCGUGCGCGCCGGUCAUUGCGUGCGCCACUCGUAUUCCUAAUGAUGGUAAAAUUCCUGGCAGAAAUAGUAAUAUAAUUUAAUUGGUUACUGCCUGCCACCACCACGGUAGCGAUUUAAUUGGUUAGGUCUACUAGUAAAAAUGCAUAGCAGAAAAAGUAAAAGAGCUAAAAGUAUUACUGUUGGAUGCAUCGGUCCCCGCUUCGACUGCCUACUAGUAAAACACCUCAUAAAAGUAGUAAUAGGAUUACCCUACACGCAUCAGCCCCUUGCCAUACUUGUGAACAGGUAAACUUCAUGUGAAGAAUAGUACUGGAUGGUAACUGUGUUACCAUAGAACGGACACUUGCUAUUAGCUAGCUACAUGGUAAUUUUAUUACCGCUAACUUUCAUCGGUUUAAUACCUAAUCAUGUUACCACUUAUUUUCUUAGUAGUAUUGGAUGGUAACUAUGUUACCACAUGACGAAAAAAUUGCUAUUAGCUAAUAGCUACACGGUAAUUGCAUUACCACUCAUGUGUAGAAGCAUGAUACACGGUCUUUUUUCCAAUUACGUUUGGUCGAAGACGCAAGGGUUUGCUAAUCGCUAAAGUGGGGUCGAAGCAGUAAUAAGUUUCCAACCGUUACCAUGUUUCUUAAGGUAUGUUACGUAUGGGCGCAAGACAUGUUCUUUAAUAGGAGCGGGACAACGGUUGCUUAGACGGAGAAUGGCGCGCAGUCUGGCCGGAGCGUAGAAUUAGACUUCUGCGCUCAGGCUUAGUUUAGCACGUCUAUAUAUAUAUAUAUAUAUAUAUAUAUAUAUAUACAUACAUGUUAGUGGCCUCGACGCUGCUUCUCUAGGGUUUGGGGUCGCCUCGACACAACGCUUCAAGGGUUUGGGGUGGCCUCGACGACAACGUUUUUUUAACUUGAUAAAUUUGGGUGGCCUCGAGAGAGUUAAUUUGUCGGGUAGGGGCGCGGCGGGAGGGGGUAGGAGACCAACAUCGUUUUCUCUCUAGGGUUUGGGUGUCCUCGAGAGUUAUCGGGGAGGGGGUAUCGGUACCACCCCCUAGCUCGUGUUGAAGUUUCUUCUUUCUCCUCUAUUCCUUUCUUUCUUCUUCUCCUCUUCUUUUUCUUCUUCUCCCUCGAGAAAGGAAAAUANNNNNNNNNNNNNNNNNNNNNNNNNNNNNNNNNNNNNNNNNNNNNNNNNNNNNNNNNNNNNNNNNNNNNNNNNNNNNNNNNNNNNNNNNNNNNNNNNNNNNNNNNNNNNNNNNNNNNNNNNNNNNNNNNNNNNNNNNNNNNNNNNNNNNNNNNNNNNNNNNNNNNNNNNNNNNNNNNNNNNNNNNNNNNNNNNNNNNNNNNNNNNNNNNNNNNNNNNNNNNNNNNNNNNNNNNNNNNNNNNNNNNNNNNNNNNNNNNNNNNNNNNNNNNNNNNNNNNNNNNNNNNNNNNNNNNNNNNNNNNNNNNNNNNNNNNNNNNNNNNNNNNNNNNNNNNNNNNNNNNNNNNNNNNNNNNNNNNNNNNNNNNNNNNNNNNNNNNNNNNNNNNNNNNNNNNNNNNNNNNNNNNNNNNNNNNNNNNNNNNNNNNNNNNNNNNNNNNNNNNNNNNNNNNNNNNNNNNNNNNNNNNNNNNNNNNNNNNNNNNNNNNNNNNNNNNNNNNNNNNNNNNNNNNNNNNNNNNNNNNNNNNNNNNNNNNNNNNNNNNNNNNNNNNNNNNNNNNNNNNNNNNNNNNNNNNNNNNNNNNNNNNNNNNNNNNNNNNNNNNNNNNNNNNNNNNNNNNNNNNNNNNNNNNNNNNNNNNNNNNNNNNNNNNNNNNNNNNNNNNNNNNNNNNNNNNNNNNNNNNNNNNNNNNNNNNNNNNNNNNNNNNNNNNNNNNNNNNNNNNNNNNNNNNNNNNNNNNNNNNNNNNNNNNNNNNNNNNNNNNNNNNNNNNNNNNNNNNNNNNNNNNNNNNNNNNNNNNNNNNNNNNNNNNNNNNNNNNNNNNNNNNNNNNNNNNNNNNNNNNNNNNNNNNNNNNNNNNNNNNNNNNNNNNNNNNNNNNNNNNNNNNNNNNNNNNNNNNNNNNNNNNNNNNNNNNNNNNNNNNNNNNNNNNNNNNNNNNNNNNNNNNNNNNNNNNNNNNNNNNNNNNNNNNNNNNNNNNNNNNNNNNNNNNNNNNNNNNNNNNNNNNNNNNNNNNNNNNNNNNNNNNNNNNNNNNNNNNNNNNNNNNNNNNNNNNNNNNNNNNNNNNNNNNNNNNNNUGAAAACACUUUUUUUUGUUUUCUUUCUUGCUUUAUUUAUUUUAUUUUGUUUCUACUUGCAAUAAAAUACUUAUUGUUGUUUUUUUGUUUUGUUUUCUGCAUUAUUUAUUUUCUUUUGUUUUUUGCUUUAUUUUUUAAUUCUUUUUGCUUUUAGUUUUAGGAAAAUUAUAAACUUUCUAUUAGUGCCAUUACUUUUCAAAUUUGAAAACACUUUUUUGUUUUUUAGUUUUCUUUCUUGCUUUAUUUAUUUUAUUUUGUUUCUACUUACAACAAAAUACUUAUUGUUGCUAUUUUUAAUUAUUACGAAGGCCAAACCAUAAGACAUUAAAGCAUUUCAAAUGAACUCUGAAAAAGUUGAAAGUUGGCAUGGUAUCAUAAAUUGACCCACACAUAGCAUGUGCAUGUACAAAACGGACAAUGUUAUCAUACUCGUCAGUUACAAAGUUGGCAUGGUAUCAUCAUAAUAGUUGCGGGAGAAAGUCUUCACUUUUUCUUCGCUUGUGUCAUUUGCUUAUUGCGCCGUAACCAUGGAUAAUCUUCAUCGUUUAUCAGGAUGCUGGGGUCAGCCUUGACUUUAAAGGGAGGAAUUUCAUGAAACUUUUCAUAAUCUUCAGACAUGUCUGUCUUGUCCUCCUCUCCCACGAUGUCCCUUUUUCCUGAAAGAACUAUGUGGCGCUUUGGCUCAUCGUAUGAUGUAUUCGCUUCCUUAUCUUUUCUCUUUCUUGGUCUGGUAGACAUGUCCAUCACAUAGAUAACCUGUGCCACAUCAUUGGCUAGGACGAACGGUUCGUCAGUGUACCCAAGAUUUUUCGGAUCCACUGUUGUCGUUCCGUACUGUGGGUCUACAUGUACCCCGCCUCCUGACAGAUUGACCCAUUUGCACUUAAACAAAGGGACCUUAAAAUCAUGUCCUUAGUCAAGUUCCCAUAUGUCCACUAUGUAACCAUAAUAUGUGUCCUUUCCCCUCUCGGUUGUUGCAUCAAAGCGGACACCGCUGUUUUGGUUGGUGCUCUUUUGAUCUUGGUUAAUCGUGUAAAAUGUCUUCCCAUUUAUCUCAUAUCCUUUCCAAAUCGUAACAGUCGAAGAUGGUCCCCUGGAUAACAAGUACAUCUCAUCACAAACAGCGUUGUCACCUCUGAUACGUGCUUCCAACCAACUGCUGAAAGUCCUGAUGUGUUCACAUGUAAUUCAGUCGUCGCACUGCUCCGGGUGUUUGGAGCGCAGACUGUUCUUGUGUUCAUCCACAUACGGGGUCACCAAGGUAGAGUUCUGUAGAACUGUGUAGUGUGCUUGAGACCAAGAAUAUCUGUCCCUGCAUAUUAUUGAGUCCCUUCCAAGCAUGCCUUUUCCAGUCAGUCUCCCCUCAUACCGCGAUUUAGGGAGACCUAUCUUCUUAUGGCCAGGAAUGAAGUCAACACAAAACCCGAUGACAUCCUCUGUUUGAUGGCCCAUGGAGAUGCUUCCUUCUGGCCUAGCGCGAUGAGGGACAUAUUUCUUUAGGACUCCCAUGAACCUCUCAAAGGGGUACAUAUUGUGUAGAAAUACGGGGCCCAAAAUGACAAUCUCGUCAACUAGAUGAACUAGGACGUGCGUCAUGAUAUUGAAGAAGGAUGGUGGGAACACCAGCUCGAAACUGACAAGACAUUGCACCACAUCACUCCUUAGCCUUGGUAUGAUUUCUGGAUCGAUCACCUUCUGAGAGAUUGCAUUGAGGAAUGCACAUAGCUUCACAAUGGCUAAUCGGACGUUUUCCGGUAGAAGCCCCCUCAAUGCAACCGGAAGCAGUUGUGUCAUAAUCACGUGGCAGUCAUGAGACUUUAGGUUCUGAAACUUUUUCUUUGCCAUAUUUAUUAUUCCUUUUAUAUUCGACGAGAAGCCAGUCGGGACCUUCAUACUAAGCAGGCAUUCAAAGAAGAUUUCCUUCUCUUCUUUGGUAAGAGCAUAGCUGGCAGGACCUUCAUACUGCUUUGGAGGCAUGCCGUCUUUUUCGUGCAAAUGUUGCAGGUCCUCCCGUGCCUCAGCUGUAUCUUUUGUCUUCCCAUACACGCCCAAGAAGCCUAGCAGGUUCACGCAAAGGUUCUUCGUCACGUGCAUCACGUCGAUCGAAGAGCGGACCUCUAGGUCUUUCUAGUAGGGUAGGUCCCAAAAUAUAGAUUUCUUCUUCCACAUGGGUGCGUGUCCCCCAACGUCACUCGGAACAGCUAGUCUGCCGGGACCCUUUCCAAAGAUUACGUGUAAAUCAUUGACCAUAGCAAGUACGUGACCACCGGUACGCAUGGCGGGCUUCUUCCGGUGAUCUGCCUCGCCUUUGAAAUGCUUGCCUUUCUUUCGACAUUGAUGGUUGGUCGGAAGAAAUCGACGAUGGCCCAGGUACACAUUCUUCCUACAGCUUGCCAGGUAUAUACUAACGGUGUCAAGUAAACAGUGCGUGCAUGCGUGGUAUCCCUUGUUUGUCUGUCCUAAAAGGUUACUGAGAGCAGGCCAAUCGUUGAUGGUCACGAACAGCAACGCCUUUAGGUUAAAUUUCUCCUGUUUGUGCUCAUCCCACGUACGUACACCGUUUCCAUUCCACAGCUGUAAAAGUUCUUCAACUAAUGGCCUUAGGUACACAUCAAUGUCAUUGCCGGGUUGCUUAGGGCCUUGGAUGAGAACUGGCAUCAUAAUGAACUUCCGCUUCAUGCACAUCCAAGGAGGAAGGUUAUACAUACAUAGAGUCACGGGCCAGGUGCUGUGAUUGCUGCUCUGCUCCCCGAAAGGAUUAAUGCCAUCCGCACUUAAAGCAAACCAUACGUUCCUUGGCUCACUUGCAAACUCAUCCCAGUACUUUCUCUCAUUUUUCUCCAUUGCGACCCGUCAGCGGGUGCUCUCAACUUCCCGUCUUUCUUACGGUCCUCACUAUGCCAUCGCAUCAACUUGGCAUGCUCUCCGUUUCUGAACAGACGUUUCAACCGUGGUAUUAUAGGAGCAUACCACAUCACCACUACUAGGGAAAAGCCUAUACAUAGAAUCUUACCAGCAGCGCUCUUCAAAAUACAACGCUACUGCUACUUAGCAGCAGCGCGUGUCUGCCAAACACGCUGCUGACUUGGAAGUAGCAGUAGCGGGUGCAUCGCAUACAGCGCUACUGCUAUAGUUGCCAUGACCUUGCCCCCCCCCCCCCNNNNNNNNNNNNNNNNNNNNNNNNNNNNNNNNNNNNNNNNNNNNNNNNNNNNNNNNNNNNNNNNNNNNNNNNNNNNNNNNNNNNNNNNNNNNNNNNNNNNNNNNNNNNNNNNNNNNNNNNNNNNNNNNNNNNNNNNNNNNNNNNNNNNNNNNNNNNNNNNNNNNNNNNNNNNNNNNNNNNNNNNNNNNNNNNNNNNNNNNNNNNNNNNNNNNNNNNNNNNNNNNNNNNNNNNNNNNGCAAACGCGCUACAACUAUCCCUACCUUAUCCCCAUGCGCACGACCGGCCCUCUCACUCACACUCUCACUCUCGCCCACGUCAACCGUCGUCGUCCGUCGCCGCCGCCGCCGCCUUCGUCCGUCCGCCGCCGAGGUACUCCCCUCCUUCCGUCCCUCCUCCAUCCUCCUUGCACAUCCUCCCUCCGCCUGUGGCCGCCCCUCCUUCCUCCGCCGCUGCCCUCCUCCCUCCGCCUGCGGCCGCCCCUCCUCCCUCCUCCGACGGCAGCCCUCCUCCCACCGCCCUCGACCUCGCUGCCCCUAGCUACCUCUCCGUCGCCCCCCACCCCUGCCACUAGUUAGUACUAGAUUUAGUAGUAGUAGAUGUUAAUUUAGGGUUAGCUAGUACUAGAUGUUGCUUAGUUAGUACUAGAUUUUUAGUAGUAGUAGUGGUAGUUGAACUACUUUAGUUGUAGUUGAACUAGUUUAGUAAGUAAAUUAAUAAACGAGUUGAACUAGUUGAAUUAAUAGAACUAAUCUAUUUUUAGUAAGAUAAUUAAUAUAACUAGUUGAACUACUUUAUUUUUAGAAAGAACUAAUUUUUUUCUAUUUAUAUUAAGUUUAUAUUUAGUAAGAACUAGUUGAAUUAAUAAAACUAGUUGAACAUGUCAUGUUUGUUGUUAGUGAUAACUUAUAUGGUUUCAGGUGACCUCCGUCGUCCCCGUCACCGACCCCCUCCGACAUCCCCGUCGUCGUCCCAGUCACCGACCCCCUCCGACAUCGAGGUGAGACCAGCCAAAUAUCCUUGUAUAUCUUGUGUUGUUGCUCAAAUUGGAUAUGUGGUUGCCCAAGUGGCCGUUCAUGUAGUUUACAUCUCCGAGUGGCCUAUGUUUUGCCGGAGUGUUGAUUAAUUUCCGUUCCGACAAAUUUCAGGCGCUCGAUAUGUCCUUUUUUAGCAAAGGUCAUGCCGGAUUUUGUCGUGAAUUCUGGUAUGACUUGUGCUAGAAUAUGUACAAGUUUAAUCUUUGAAUUAUGAUUGUAGGAAAUGUCGUACUCGGACGACGAAGGUCUCCCGGGGGAGUGUAGCUGGUGCCACGACGAUCGAGGUAUGUGCGAUAGGUUCGUUCGGCUGGACGAAGAUCGGCGCUUCAACAUUAAGCUCGAGGAGACCUUCGAUUGUGAAAUGGUACGCAACAACGACAAGUGUUUUUUCUCCAUUAAGCAUGACUUCAACUAUUUCAACGUCUAAUUUUCAUAUUUUACAAUUCGACUAGCUUAUCCCAUGCCAUGCAAGACGCUAUGUCUUGGAGAGGAUGGGUUUUGAAGACCAUGAAAAUUUCAAAACAAAGAAAAUACACCUAAGGACCCAUCAUGAUAUGGAUUUUGAAGUAAACCUGUGCAAUGCUCAGAGCGCAACCCAUUUUGGUUGCCAAAAUUGGGAAGCACUUUGCAAAAUGUAUGGUUUUUAUGAGGGUAUGAUUGUCACCAUGGAUCUUGGUGAUCCUGACAGUGAGGAAGACAAUAUGGACAUUUGGGUCCUUGUUGAUACGCUUCCGAUUGUACCGCUAUGUGACUUUCUCAAACAUAGUUAUUAACUAAUUUAUAUUGUUUAUUUCAAAAUAGUUGAUAGCUUAUUUCCAUUGACAGCUUAUUUUGAUUCUUCAAAGACUGUGCGGAAGAUGGUAGAUAAAACCCACUACACCGAAGGCACCCAAUUAACGUAUAAGGAGAAAAAUCAUCUGAUCGCAUUUUGUACUCUUCUUGAGAAUUACAAUGACUAUAAUCGAACUCCUCCAGAUUAUGGUGAAUAUGUGCCACUAGUGCAUGUGUUGAACAACGAUAACUUAUCUGGAGAUACCCUGGUAAGAUUUUUUACUAUUACGACAUCCGUGUAUUUUUUGCAUACUUCUAAAACUAGUACAUCAUUGCUAACUACGAAGUUAUUAUUAUGUUUUUCAACAGAAACUCCCGAUGGAUUGUGUGCCUCAUCUGAUGUCUCUGCAUGGUCGCCUCUCAGUUCUGAACAUACUGCCAGGUAAAUCUACAGAGCUCACCUAUGCAUAUCAGAUUUCUAAAACCCGUGAACACAUGAUCAUCAGAGAAUGGAAGAAAUGUAUGGACAUUCGCAAGGAGGUUCUUGGAAGUAACAUUCAGCGAAACGUAAGAAUGGGAGACAGGCUAAUCUCCAUUCUCCAUAAUGGAGAGUCAGGGGCUAUCUUGUUUUUUGUUAUUUUACCUUAGAAAAUGUAGUAGGUCUUAAUCGAAUGUAAUAGGUCCUAUGAGGUACAAUAUGUUUAUUAUGUGGUAAUGUGUUAGAGUUGAUAAUGAUGAUCUUGAGGAGGUGUUAUGUGAUGUCAAUGAUGAAAACGAUGAUAUUGAGGAGGUGUUAUAUGACAAUGAUGUAUUAUGAUGCUAAGUUGUUAAUGAUAUGAUGAUGAUGAUGAUAUUAUUAUAUCAUUGGGUGAAAGAACCGUGGAUUAGUUUCAAGUGGAUGGACAUCCACUUGAAACUAGUCCACGGUUCUUUCACCCCAUGAUGUAAUAACUCAUUAUGAUGUAAAAACAAUCUCUAAAUUCCUGUUGUAUGAAAACUUGUGUAAGGGUGUAUGAAUACAACAUGAAAAAGAAAAGAAAUAAAAUACUAAAUAAUAGUAGUAGCGCGGGUAAGGAGAAGCGCUACUACUAAUUACCAGUAGCGAUGUUCUAAAGAACCGCUGCUACUAAGUCAAUUUAGCAGUAGCGCGUGUCAAGACGCGCUAUUGCUAAGCAUUAGCUGUAGCGCCUUAUCAGUAGCGCUCCUGCCCGCGCUACUGAUAGGCCCAAAACCCGCGCUGCUGCUAGGCUUUUCCCUAGUAGUGCACCUUCGCAGGAACCCUCUUCCUGGGGGGCUCGCCGUCAACAUCACCAGGGUCAUCUCGUCUGAUCUUAUACCAUAAUGCACCGCAUACCAGGCAUGCGUUCAGAUCCUUAUAUGCACCGCGGUAGAGGAUGCAGUCAUUAGGGCAUGCAGGUAUCUUCUGCACCUCCAAUCCUAGAGGGCAUACGACCUUCUUUGCUGCGUAUGUACUGUCGGGCAAUUCGUUAUCCUUUGGAAGCUUCUUCUUCAAUAUUUUCAGUAGCUUCUCAAAUCCUUUGUCAGGCACAGCAUUCUCUUAAAGGAAAUAUGCCCUAGAGGCAAUAAUAAAGUUAUUAUUUAUUUCCUCAUAUCAUGAUAAAUGUUUAUUAUUCAUGCUAGAAUUGUAUUAACCGGAAACAUGAUACAUGUGUGAAUACAUAGACAAAACUAUAGUCACUAGUAUGCCUCUACUUGACUAGCUCAUUAAUCAAAGAUGGUUAUGUUUCCUGACCAUAGACAUGUGUUGUCAUUUGAUUAGUGGGAUCACAUCAUUAAGAGAAUGAUGUGAUUGACAUGACCCAUUCUGUUAGCCCAGCACUUGAUCGUUUAGUAUACUGCUAUUGCUUUCUUCAUGACUUAUACAAAGUUCCUGCAACUAUGAGAUUGUGCAACUCCCGUUUACCGGAAGAACACUUUGUGUGCUACCAAACAUCACAACGUAACUGGGUGAUUAUAAAGGUGCUCUACAGGUGUUUCCGAAGGUACAUGUUGGGUUGGCAUAAUUCGAGAUUAGGAUUUGUCACUCCGAUUGUCGGAGAGGUAUCUCUGGGCCCUCUCGGAAAUACUCAUCACAUAAGCCUUGCAAGCAUGUAACUAAUGAGUUAGUUAUGAGAUGACGUAUUACGAAACGAGUAAAGAGACUUGCCGGUAACGAGAUUGAACUAGGUAUUGGAUACCGACGAUCAAAUCUCGGGCAAGUAACAUACCGAUGACAAAGGGAACAAAGUAUGUUGUUAUGCGGUUUGACCGAUAAAGAUCUUCGUAGAAUAUGUAGGAACCAAUAUGGGCAUCCAGGUCCCGCUAUUGGUUAUUGACCGAGAAUGGUUUUAGGUCAUGACUACAUAGUUCUCAAACCCGUAGGGUCCGCACGCUUAACUUUUUGAUGAUAGUUUUAUUAUGAGUUUAUAAGUUUUGAUGUACCAAAGUUUGUUCGGAGUUCCGGAUGUGAUCACGGAUAUGAUGAGGAGUCUCGGAAUGCUUGAGCCAUAAAGAUUGAUAUAUUGGACGACUAUAUUCGGACACCGGAAAGGUUCCGGGAGUUUUCGGAGAAAACCGGAGUGCCCGGGGGGUUACCGAAACCCCCCGGGAGAGUUAAUGGGCCACAUGGGCCUAGGUGGGAAGAGAAAGGGGCGGCCAGGGUGAGCCGCGCGCCCCCUCUCCCUCUAGUCCGAAUUGGACUAGGAGGGGGGGCGGCGCCCCCUUUCCUUCCCCCCCUCUCUUCCUUCCUUCCCCCUCCUAGUAGGAGUAGGAAAGGAGGAAUCCUACUCCUACUAGGAGGAGGAUUCCUCCUCCCUUGCGCGCCCCAAGGGGCCGGCCGGCCUCCCCCUCCCUCCUUUAUAUACGGGGGCAGGGGGCACCCCAUAGACACACAAGUUGAUCUACGGAUCGUUCCUUAGCCGUGUGCGGUGCCCCCUUCCACCAUAUUCCACCUCGGUCAUAUCGUCGCGAAGCUUAGGCGAAGUCCUGCGCCGGUAGAACAUCAAGAUCGUCACCACGCCGUCGUGCUGACGGAACUCUCCCUCGACACUCGGCUGGAUCGGAGUUCGAGGGACGUCAUCGAGCUGAAUGUGUGCUGAACUCGGAGGCUCCGUACGUUCGGUUCUUGGAUCGGUCGGAUCGUGAAGACGUAUGACUACAUCAACCGCGUUGUCAUAACGCUUCCGCUUACGGUCUACGAGGGUACAUGGACAUACACUCUCCCCUCUCGUUGCUAUGUCAUCACCAUGAUCUUGCGUGUGCGUAGGAAAAUUUUGAAAUUACUACGUUCCCCGACAGUGGUAUCAGAGCCUAGGUUUUAUGCGUUGAUGUUAUAUGCACGAGUAGAACACAAGUGAGUUGUGGACGAUAUAAGUCAUACUGCCUACCAGUGUGUCAUACUUUGGUUCAGCGGUAUUGUGAGAUGAAGCGGCCCGGACCGACAUUACGGGUACGCUUACGCGAGACUAGUUUCACCGUUAUGAGCACUCGUGCUUAAAGGUGGCUGGCGGGUGUCUGUCUCUCUCACUUUAGUUGAACCGAGUGUGGCUACGCCCGGCCCUUGUGAAGGUUAAAACGGAGUCUAUUUGACAAACUAUCGUUGUGGUUUUGAUGCGUAGGUAAGAACGGUUCUUGCUAAGCCCGUAGCAUCCACGUAAAAUUUGCAACAACAAAGUAGAGGACGUCUAACUUGUUUUUGCAGGGCAUGUUGUGAUAUGAUAUGGUCAAGACGUGAUGCUAUAUUUUAUUGUAUGAGAUGAUCAUGUUUUGUAACCGAAGUUAUCGGCAACUGGCUGGAGCCAUAUGGUUGUCGCUUUAUUGUAUGAAAUGCAAACGCCCUGUAAUUGCUUUACUUUAUCUCUAAGCGGUAGCGAUAGUCGUAGAAGCAAUAGAUGGCGUAAACGACAACGAUGCUACGAUGGAGAUCAAGGUGUCGCGCCGGUGACGAUGGUGAUCAUGACGGUGCUUCGAAGAUGGAGAUCACAAGCACAAGAUGAUGAUGGCCAUAUCAUAUCACUUAUAUUGAUUGCAUGUGAUGUUUAUCCUUUAUGCAUCUUAUCUUGCUUUGAUUGACGGUAGCAUUUUAAGAUGAUCUCUCACUAAAAUUAUCAAGUAGUGUUCUCCCUGAGUAUGCACCGUUGCCAAAGUUCAUCGUGCCGAGACACCACGUGAUGAUCGGGUGUGAUAAGCUCUACGUCCAUCUACAACGGGUGCAAGCCAGUUUUGCACACGCAGAAUACUCAGGUUAAACUUGACGAGCCUAGCAUAUGCAGAUAUGGCCUCGGAACACAGAGACCGAAAGGUCGAGCGUGAAUCAUAUAGUAGAUAUGAUCAACAUAAUGAUGUUCACCAUUGAAAACUACUCCAUCUCACGUGAUGAUCGGUUAUGGUUUAGUUGAUUUGGAUCACGUGAUCACUUAGAUGACUAGAGAGAUGUCUGUCUAUGUGGGAGUUCUUAAGUAAUAUGAUUAAUUGAACUUAAAUUUAUCAUGAACUUAGUACCUGAUAGUAUCUUGCUUGUCUAUGUUUGUUUGUAGAUAGAUGGCUCGUGCUGUUGUUCCGUUGAAUUUUAAUGCGUUCCUUGAGAAAGCAAAGUUGAAAGAUGAUGGUAGCAAUUACACGGACUGGGUCCGUAACCUGAGGAUUAUCCUCAUUGUUGCACAGAAGAGUUACGUCCUGGAAGCACCGCUGGGUGCCAGGCCUGCUGCUGAUGCAACUGACGACGUUAAGAACGUCUGGCAGAGCAAAGCUGAUGACUACUCUAUAGUUCAGUGUGCCAUGCUUUACGGCUUAGAACCGGGUCUUCAACGACGUUUUGAACGUCAUGGAGCAUAUGAGAUGUUCCAGGAGUUGAAGUUAAUAUUUCAAGCAAAUGCCCGGAUUGAGAGAUAUGAAGUCUCCAAUAAGUUCUAUAGCUGCAAGAUGGAGGAGAAUAGUUCUGUCAGUGAACAUAUACUCAGAAUGUCUGGGUAUAACAAUCACUUGAUUCAACUGGGAGUUAAUCUUCCUGAUGAUAGUGUCAUUGACAGAAUUCUUCAAUCACUGCCACCAAGCUACAAGAGCUUUGUGAUGAACUAUAAUAUGCAAGGGAUGAACAAGACUAUUCCCGAGCUCUUCGCGAUGCUGAAAGCCGCAGAGGUAGAAAUCAAGAAGGAGCAUCAAGUGUUGAUGGUCAACAAGACCACUAGUUUCAAGAAGAAGGGCAAAGGAAAGAAGAAGGGGAACUUCAAAAAGAACGGCAAGCAAGUUGCUGCUCAAGAGAAGAAACCCAAGUCUGGACCUAAGCCUGAAACUGAGUGCUUCUACUGCAAGCAGACUGGUCACUGGAAGCGGAACUGCCCCAAGUAUUUGGCGGAUAAGAAGGAUGGCAAAGUAAACAAAGGUAUAUGUGAUAUACAUGUUAUUGAUGUGUACCUAACUAGAGCUCGUAGUAGCACCUGGGUAUUUGAUACUGGUUCUGUUGCUAAUAUUUGCAACUCGAAACAGGGACUACGGAAUAAGCGAGCACUGGCCAAGGACGAGGUGACGAUGCGCGUGGAAAACGGUUCCAAAGUCGAUGUGAUCGCGGUCGGCACGCUACCUCUACAUCUACCAUCGGGAUUAGUUUUAGACCUAAAUAAUUGUUAUUUGGUGCCAGCGUUGAGCAUGAACAUUAUAUCUGGAUCUUGUUUGAUGCAAGACGGUUAUUCAUUUAAAUCAGAGAAUAAUGGUUGUUCUAUUUAUAUGAGUAAUAUCUUUUAUGGUCAUGCACCCUUGAAGAGUGGUCUAUUUUUAUUGAAUCUCGAUAGUAGUGAUACACAUAUUCAUAUUGUAGAAGCCAAAAGAUGCAGAGUUGAUAAUGAUAGUGCAACUUAUUUGUGGCACUGCCGUUUGGGUCAUAUCGGUGUACAACGCAUGAAGAAACUCCAUACUGAUGGACUUCUGGAAUCACUUGAUUAUGAAUCACUUGGUACUUGCGAACCGUGCCUUAUGGGCAAGAUGACUAAAACACCGUUCUCCGGAACUAUGGAGAGAGCAACAGAUUUGUUGGAAAUCAUACAUACAGAUGUAUGUGGUCCGAUGAAUGUUGAGGCUCGUGGCGGAUAUCAUUAUUUUCUCACCUUCACUGAUGAUUUAAGCAGAUAUGGGUAUAUCUACUUAAUGAAGUACAAGUCUGAAACAUUUGAAAAGUUCAAAGAAUUUCAGAGUGAAGUAGAAAAUCAUCGUAACAAGAAAAUAAAGUUUCUACGAUCUGACCGUGGAGGAGAAUAUUUGAGUUACGAGUUUGGUUUACAUUUGAAACAAUGCGGAAUAGUUUCGCAACUCACGCCACCUGGAACACCACAACGAAAUGGUGUGUCCAAACGUCGUACUCGUACUUUACUUGAUAUGGUGCGAUCUAUGAUGUCUCUUACCGAUUUACCGCUAUCGUUUUGGGGUUAUGCUUUAGAGACGGCCGCAUUCACGUUAAAUAGGGCACCAUCAAAAUCCGUUGAGAUGACGCCUUAUGAACUGUGGUUUGGCAAGAAACCAAAGUUGUCGUUUCUUAAAGUUUGGGGCUGCGGUACUUAUGUGAAGAAACUUCAACCAGAUAAGCUCGAACCCAAAUCGGAGAAAUGUGUCUUCGUAGGAUACCCAAAGGAGACUAUUGGGUACACCUUCUAUCACAGAUCUGAAGGCAAGAUUUUCGUUGCUAAAUUCGGAUCCUUUCUAGAGAAGGAAUUUCUCUCGAAAGAAGUGAGUGGGAGGAAAGUAGAACUUGAUGAGAUAACUGUAUCUACUCCCUUAUUGGAAGGUAGUUCAUCACGAGAACUGGUUCCCAUGACAACUACACCAAUUAUUGAGGAAGCUAAUAAUAUUGAUCAUGAAACUUCAGAUCAAGUUUCUGCUGAACCUCGUAGGUCUACCAGAGUAAGAUCCGCACCAGAGUGGUACGGUAAUCCUAUUCUGGAAGUCAUGUUACUUGACCAUGAUGAACCUACGAACUAUGAGGAACCGAUGAUGAGCCCAGAUUCCGCAAAAUGGCUAGAGGCCAUGAAAUCUGAGAUGGGAUCCAUGGAUGAAAACAAAGUAUGGACUUUGGUUGACUUGCCCGAUGAUCGGCAAGCCAUUGAGAAUAAAUGGAUCUUUAAGAAGAAGACUGACGCUGAUGGUAAUGUUACUGUCUAUAAAGCUCGACUUGUUGCGAAAGGUUUUCGACAAGUUCAAGGGGUUGACUAUGAUGAGACUUUCUCACCCGUAGCGAUGCUUAAGUCUGUCCGAAUCAUGUUGGCUAUUGCUGCAUUUCAUGAUUAUGAAAUUUGGCAAAUGGAUGUCAAAACUGCAUUCUUGAAUGGAUUUCUAGAAGAAGAGUUGUAUAUGAUGCAGCCGGAAGGUUUUGUUGAUCCAAAAGGUGCUGACAAAGUGUGUAAGCUCCAAUGUUCCAUUUAUGGACUGGUGCAAGCAUCUCGGAGUUGGAAUAAACGUUUUGACAGUGUGAUCAAGGCAUAUGGUUUUAUACAGACUUUUGGAGAAGCCUGUAUUUACAAGAAAGUGAGUGGGAGCUCUGUAGCAUUUCUAGUUUUAUAUGUUGAUGACAUAUUAUUAAUUGGAAAUGAUAUAGAAUUUCUGGAGAGCAUAAAGGGAUACUUGAAUAAAAGUUUUUCAAUGAAAGACCUCGGUGAAGCUGCUUACAUAUUGGGCAUCAAGAUCUAUAGAGAUAGAUCAAGACGCUUAAUAGGACUUUCACAAAGCACAUACCUUGACAAAAUUUUGAAAAAGUUCAAAAUGGAUCAGGCAAAGAAAGGAUUCUUGCCUGUGCUACAAGGUGUGAAGUUGAGUCAAACUCAAUGCCCGACCACAUCAGAAGAUAGAGAGAAAAUGAAAAAUGUUCCCUAUGCUUCAGCCAUAGGCUCUAUCAUGUAUGCAAUGCUGUGUACCAGACUUGACGUAUGCUUAGCAAUAAGCUUGGCAGGAAGGUACCAAAGUAAUCCAGGAGUGGAUCACUGGACAGCGGUCAAGAACAUCCUUAAAUACCUGAAAAGGACUAAGGAUAUAUUUCUCGUAUAUGUAGGUGACAAAGAGCUCGUCGUAAAUGGUUACGUCGAUGCAAGCUUUGACACUGAUCCAGACGAUUCUAAAUCGCAAACCGGAUACGUGUUUAUAUUAAACGGUGGAGCUGUAAGUUGGUGCAGUUCUAAACAAAGCGUCGUGGCGGGAUCUACAUGUGAAGCGGAGUACAUAGCUGCUUCUGAAGCAGCAAAUGAAGGAGUCUGGAUGAAGGAGUUCAUUUCCGAUCUAGGUGUCAUACCUAGUGCAUCGGGACCAAUGAAGAUCUUCUGUGACAAUACAGGUGCAAUUGCUUUGGCAAAGGAAUCCAGAUUUCACAAGAGGACCAAGCACAUCACGAGACGCUUAAAUUCCAUUCGGGACCAAGUCCAAGUGGGAGACAUACAGAUUUGCAAGAUACAUACGGAUCUGAAUAUUGCAGACCCGUUGACUAAGCAUCUCUCACGAGCAAAACAUGAUCAGCACCAAGACUCCAUGGGUGUUAGAAUCAUUAUUGUGUAAUCUAGAUUAUUGACUCUAGUGCAAGUGGGAGACUAAAGGAAAUAUGCCCUAGAGGCAAUAAUAAAGUUAUUAUUUAUUUCCUCAUAUCAUGAUAAAUGUUUAUUAUUCAUGCUAGAAUUGUAUUAACCGGAAACAUGAUACAUGUGUGAAUACAUAGACAAAACUAUAGUCACUAGUAUGCCUCUACUUGACUAGCUCAUUAAUCAAAGAUGGUUAUGUUUCCUGACCAUAGACAUGUGUUGUCAUUUGAUUAGUGGGAUCACAUCAUUAAGAGAAUGAUGUGAUUGACAUGACCCAUUCUGUUAGCCUAGCACUUGAUCGUUUAGUAUACUGCUAUUGCUUUCUUCAUGACUUAUACAAAGUUCCUGCAACUAUGAGAUUGUGCAACUCCCGUUUACCAAAAGAACACUUUGUGUGCUACCAAACGUCACAACGUAACUGGGUGAUUAUAAAGGUUCUCUACAGGUGUUUCCGAAGGUACAUGUUGGGUUGGCAUAAUUCGAGAUUAGGAUUUGUCACUCCGAUUGUCGGAGAGGUAUCUUUGGGCCCUCUCGGUAAUACUCAUCACAUAAGCCUUGCAAGCAUGUAACUAAUGAGUUAGUUAUGAGAUGACGUAUUACGGAACGAGUAAAGAGACUUGCCGGUAACGAGAUUGAACUAGGUAUUGGAUACCAACGAUCAAAUCUCGGGCAAGUAACAUACCGAUGACAAAGGGAACAAAGUAUGUUGUUAUGCGGUUUGACCGAUAAAGAUCUUCAUAGAAUAUGUAGGAACCAAUAUGGGCAUCCAGGUCCCGCUAUUGGUUAUUGACCGAGAAUGGUUUUAGGUCAUGACUACAUAGUUCUCGAACCCGUAGGGUCCGCACGCUUAACGUUUCGAUGAUAGUUUUAUUAUGAGUUUAUAAGUUUUGAUGUACCGAAGUUUGUUCGGAGUCCCAGAUGUGAUCACAGACAUGACGAGGAGUCUUGGAAUGGUCGAGACAUAAAGAUUGAUAUAUUGGACGACUAUAUUCGGACACCGGAAAGGUUCCGGGAGUUUUCGGAGAAAACCGGAGUGCCGGGGGGGUUACCGGAACCCCCCGGGAGAGUUAAUGGGCCACAUGGGCCUAGGUGGGAAGAGAGAGGUGCGGCCAGGGUGGGCCGCGCGCCCCCUCUCCCUCUAGUUCGAAUUGGACUAGGAGGGGGGGCGGCGCCCCCCUUUCCUUCCCCCCCUCUCUUCCUUCCUUCCCCCUCCUAGUAGGAGUAGGAAAGGAGGAAUCCUACUCCUACUAGGAGGAGGAUUCCUCCUCCCUUGGAGCGCCCCAAGGGGCUGGCCGGCCUCCCCCUCCCUCCUUUAUAUACGAGGGCAGGGGGCACCCCAUAGACACACAAGUUGAACUACGGAUCGUUCCUUAGCCGUGUGCGGUGCCCCCUUCCACCAUAUUCCACCUCGGUCAUAUUGUCGCGAAGCUUAGGCGAAGCCCUGCGCCGGUAGAACAUCAAGAUCGUCACCACGCCGUCGUGCUGACGGAACUCUCCCUCGACACUCGGCUGGAUCGGAGUUCGAGGGACGUCAUCGAGCUGAACAUCUGCUGAACUCGGAGGCUCCGUACGUUAGGUGCUUGGAUCGGUCGGAUCGUGAAGACGUACGACUACAUCAACCGCGUUGUCAUAACGCUUCCGCUUACGGUCUACGAGGGUACGUGGACAUACACUCUCCCCUCUCGUUGCUAUUUCAUCACCAUGAUCUUGCUUGUGCGUAGGAAAAUUUUGAAAUUACUACGUUCCCCAACAUCUCUGCCUUCCACUGCAGCAAUUCCAGUACGGUACCGAGCUUUGUGUUGCCAUCUUCGCAAUUGGGGUACAACCCUUUUUUUUGGUCCUCUAGCAUGCGAUCGAACUUCAGCUUCUCCUUUUGACUUUUGCAUUGCGUCCUUGCAUCGACAAUGACCCGGCGGAGAUCAUCAUCAUCGGGCACAUCGUCUGGUUCCUCUUGAUCUUCAGCAGCUUCGCCUGUUGCAGCAUCAUCGUGCACAUCGUCUGGUUCCUCUUGAUCUUCAGGAGCAUCACCGUAUUCAGGGGCACAUAGUUGUCAUCGUACUCUUCUUCACCGUCUUCCAUCAUAACCCCUAUUUCUCCGUGCCUCAUCCAAACAUUAUAGUGUGGCAUGAAACCCUUGUAAAGCAGGUGGGUGUGGAGGAUUUUCCGGUCAGAGUAAGACUUCGUAUUCCCACAUAUAGGACAUGGACAACACAUAAAACCAUUCUGCUUGUUUGCCUCAGCCACUUCGAGAAAAUCAUGCACGCGCUUAAUGUACUCGGAGGUGUGUCUUGAACCGUACAUCCAUUGCCGGUUCAUCUGCGUGCAUUAUAUAAUGAAGUGACCAAAUUAAUAGAAGUUCAUCAUCACAUUAAAACCAAAGUACAUACAUAGUUCUCAUCUAACAACAUAAAGCUCUGCAGAGCAUCUAAAUUAAUUAAACCAUACACUGAAACUAUGUAAAACAUUUCAAUGCGAAAACAAAUGCAACCAUAAUCGCAACCAAUGUAACAACUGAUCCAACGGCAUAAUGAUACCAAGCCUCAGUAUGAAUGGCAUAUUUUCUAAUCUUUCUAAUCUUCAAGCGCAUUGCAUCCAUCUUGAUCUUGUGAUCAUCGACGACAUCCCCAACAUGCAACUCCAAUAUCAUCUUCUCCUCCUCAAUUUUUCUAAUUUUUUCCUUCAAGAAAUUGUUUUCUUCUUCAACUGAAUUUAACCUCUCGACAAUAGGGUCGGUUGGAAUUUCCGGUUCAACAACCUCCUAGAUAAAUAAAAUCUAUGUCACGUUGGUCGGCAUAAUUGUCAUAAACAAUAAAUGAACCAAUAGUUAUGAAAAGAUAAUAUAUACCACAUCCGAAUCAUAGACAGGACGAGGGCCGACGGGGGCGGAUACCAAAACCAUCGCACUAUAUAAGAUGCAAUAAUAAAAGUAAGAAAAUAAUACAAGUAUCUAUCUAAACAUACAAGUAAGAAUAUUUUUCCUUUCAGAAAGAAGAUAAGAACAAGAGGCUCACCACGGUGGUGCCGGCGAUGAGAUCGGCGCGGGUGAUCGACGACGAUGAAGACAAGGACGGGGCGUGACGGACCGCUAAACCUAGACAAAUAUUGAGGAAAAUGGAGCUUGGCGGUCGAGCUUGGAGGGGAGAAAGCUUAAGUAGUGUGGCUCGGGCAUUCCAUCGAACACCUCGUGUGCAUAGGAGGUGAGCUAGAGCACCACAAAGCUCUCCCCUCGCCGGCCACGAAAAACAGAGCACUGGGAGUGCUCUGCUCGCGAGCGGGGGGUAUAUAUAGGCACCACCAUUGGUCCCGGUUGGUCGCACGAACCGGGACUAAAGGUUGGCCUUUGGUCCCGGUUCGUGCCACCAACUGGGACCAAUGGUGGUGGGCCAGGAGCGAGGCCCAUUGGUCCCGGUUCGUCCCUCCAACCGGGACCAAAAGGUCCAGACAAACCGGGACCAAUGGCCCACGUGUUGGGUUUCGUAGUAAUUUCAAAAAAUUUCCUACGCACACGCAAGAUCAUGUGAUGCAUAGCAACGAGGGGAGAGUGUUGUCUACGUACCCAACGCAGACCGACUGCGGAAGCGAUGACACGACGUAGAGGAAGUAGUCGUACGUCUUCACGAUCCAACCGAUCAAGCACCGAAACUACGGCACCUCCGAGUUCGAGCACACGUUCAGCUCGAUGACGAUCCCCGGACUCCGAUCCAGCAAAGUGUCGGGGAAGAGUUCCGUCAGCACGACGGCGUGGUGACGAUCUUGAUGAACUACAGCAGCAGGGCUUCGCCUAAACUCCGCUACAGUAUUAUCGAGGUAUAUGGUGGCAGGGGCACCGCACACGGCUAAGGAAUAGAUCACGUGGAUCAACUUGUGUGUAUAGAGGUGCCCCCUGCCUCCGUAUAUAAAGGAGGAGAGGAGGGGAGGCUGGCCGGCCAAGGAGGGGAGGCGCAGGAGAGUCCUACUCCCUCUGGGAGUAGGAUUCCCCCCAAUCCUAGUCCAACUAGGAUUCCUCGGAGGGGAAGGGAGAGAGGGGGGCCGGCCACCUUCUCCUAGUCCUAAUAGGACUAGGGGAGGGGGAAGUGGCGCAGCCACCUUGGGCUGCCCCUUUCUCCUUUCCACUAAGGCCCAUGAAGGCCCAUAUGGCUCCCGGGGGGUUCCGGUAAUCCUCCCGGUACUCCGGUAAAAUCCCGAUUUCACCCGGAACACUUCCGAUGUCCAAACAUAGGCUUCCAAUAUAUCAAUCUUUAUGUCUCGACCGUUUCGAGACUCCUCGUCAUGUCCAUGAUCACAUCCGGGACUCCAAACAACCUUCGGUACAUCAAAAUGCAUAAACUCAUAAUGUAACUGUCAUCGUAACCUUAAGCGUGCGGACCCUACGGGUUCGAGAACAAUGUAGACAUGACCGAGACACGUCUCCGGUCAAUAACCAAUAGCGGGACCUGGAUGCCCAUAUUGGCUCCUACAUAUUCUACGAAGAUCUUUAUCGGUCAGACCGCAUAACAACAUACGUUGUUCCCUUUGUCAUCGGUACGUUACUUGCCCGAGAUUCGAUCGUCGGUAUCCAAUACCUAGUUCAAUCUCGUCACCGGCAAGUCUCUUUACUCGUUCUAUAAUGCAUCAUCCCGUAACCAACUCAUUGGUCACAUUGCUUGCAAGGCUUAUAAUGAUGUGCAUUACCGAGAGGGCCCAGAGAUACCUCUCCGACAAUCGGAGUGACAAAACCUAAUCUCGAAAUACGCCAACUCAACAUGUACCUUCGGAGACACCUGUAGUACUCCUUUAUAAUCACCCAGUUAAGUUGUGACGUUUGGUAGUACCCAAAGUGUUCCUCCGGUAAACGGGAGUUGCAUAAUCUCAUAGUUACAGGAACAUGUAUAAGUCAUGAAGAAAGCAAUAGCAACAUACUAAACGAUCAAGUGCUAAGCUAACGGAAUGGGUGAAGUCAAUCACAUCAUUCUCCUAAUGAUGUGACCCCGUUAAUCAAAUGACAACUCUUUUGUCCAUGGCUAGGAAACAUAACCAUCUUUGAUAAACGAGCUAGUCAAGUAGAGGCAUACUAGUGACACUAUGUUUGUCUAUGUAUUCACACAUGUAUUAUGUUUCUGGUUAAUACAAUUCUAGCAUGAAUAAUAAACAUUUAUCAUGAAAUAAGGAAAUAAAUAAUAACUUUAUUAUUGCCUCUAGGGCAUAUUUCCUUCAGUCUCCCACUUGCACUAGAGUCAAUAAUCUAGUUCACAUCGUCAUGUGAUUUAACAACAAUAUUCAUAUCUGUAUAUGAUUAACACCCAUAGUUCACAUUAUCAUGUGACCAACACCCAAAGGGUUUACUAGAGUAAAUAAUCUAGUUCACAUCUCUAUGUGAUUAACACCCAAAGAGUACUAAGGUGUGAUCAUGUUUUGCUCGUGAAAGAAGCUUAGUCAAUGGGUCUGUCACAUUCAGAGCCGUAUGCAUUUUGCAAAUAUUUUAUGUCUACAAUGCUCUGCACGGUGCUACUCUAGCAAUUGCUCCCACUUUCAAUAUGUAUCCAGAUUGAGACUUAGAGUCAUCUGGAUCGGUGUGAAAACUUGCACCGAGGUAACUUUUACGACGGGCUCUUUUAUCACCUCCAUAAUCGAGAAAUAUUUCCUUAGUCCUCACUAAGGAUAUUCUUGACCAAUGUCGAGUGAUCUACUCCUAGAUCACUAUUGUACUCCCUUGUCAAAUACUGAGCAAGGUAUACAAUAGUUCUGGUACAUAGCAUAGCAUACUUUAUAGAACCUAUGACUGAGGCAUAGGGAAUGACUUUUCAUUUUUUCUAUUUUCUGUUGUGGUCGGGAUUUGAGUCUUACUCAAUUUCAUACCUUUGCAACACAGGCAAGAACUCUUUCUUUGACUGUUCCAUUUUGAACUAUUUCAAAAUCUUGCCAAGGUAUGUACUCAUUGAAAAUCUUAUCAAGCGUCUUGAUCUAUCUCAAUAUAUCUUGAUGCUCAAUAUGUAAGUAGCUUUUACUGAGGUCUUUUCCUUUUAAAGAACUCCUUUAAAACACUCCUUUAUGCUUUGCAGAAAAAUUCUACAUCAUUUCUGAUCAACAAUAUGUCACUCGUAUAUACUAAUCAGAAAGGCUAUAGUGCUCCCACUCACUUUAUUGUAAAUACAGGCUUCUCAAAAAGUCUGUAUAAAACCAUAUGCUUUGAUCAACUCAUCAAAGCGUAUAUUCCAACUCCGAGAGGCUUGCACCAGUCCAUAGAUGGAUCGCUGGAGCUUGCACAUUUUUUUAGCACCUUUAGGAUUGACAAAACCUUCUGGUUGCAUCAUAUACAACUCUUCUUUAAUAAAUCCAUUAAGGAAUGCAGUUUUGAUAUCCAUUUGCCAGAUUUCAUAAAAUGUGGCAAUUGCUAACAUGAUUCAGACAGACUUAAGAAUCGAUACGAGUGAGAAAAUCUCAUCGUAUUCAACACCUUGAACUUGUUGAAAACCUUUCGCAACAAGUCGAGCUUGGUAGAUAGUAACACUACUAUCAGUGUCCGUCUUCCUCUUGAAGAUCCAUUCAUUUAACAUGGCUUGCUGAUCAUCGAGCAAGUCAAUCAAAGUCCAUACUUUGUUCUCAUACAUGGAUCAUAUCUCAGAUUUUAUGGCCUCGAGCCAUUUCGCGGAAUCUGGGCUCAUCAUCGCUUCUUCAUAGUUCGUAGGUUCAUCAUGAUCUAGUAUCAUGACUUCCAGAAUAGGAUUACCGUACCAUUCUGGUGCGGAUCUUACUCUGGUUGAUCUACGAGGUUCAUCAGUAUCUUGAUCUGAAGUUUCAUGAUCAUUAUCAUUGGCUUCCUCACUAACUGGUGUAGGUGUCACUGAAACAGUUUUCUGUGAUGAACUACUUUCCAGUAAGGGAGCAGGUACAGUUACCUCGUCAAGUUCUACUUUCCUCCCACUCACUUCUUUCGAGAGAAACUCCUUCUCUAGAAAGGAUCCAUUCUUAGCAACGAAUGUCUUGCCUUCGGAUCUGUGAUAGAAGGUGUACCCAAUAGUCUCCUUUGGGUAUCCUAUGAAGACACAUUUCUCCGAUUUGGGUUCGAGCUUAUCAGGUUGAAGCUUUUUCACAUAAGCAUCGCAGCCCCAAACUUUAAGAAACGACAACUUUGGUUUCUUGCCAAACCACAGUUCAUAAGGCGUCGUCUCAACGGAUUUUGAUGGUGCCCUAUUUAACGUGAAUGCGGCCGUCUCUAAAGCAUAUCCCCAAAAUGAUAGCGGUAAAUCAGUAAGAGACAUCAUAGAUCGCACCAUAUCUAGUAAAGUACGAUUACGAUGUUCGGACACACCAUUACGCUGUGGUGUUCCGGGUGGCGUGAGUUGCGAAACUAUUCCACAGUUUUUCAAAUGUACACCAAACUCGUAACUCAAAUAUUCUCCUCCACGAUCAGAUCGUAGAAACUUUAUUUUCUUGUUACGAUGAUUUUCAACUUCACUCUGAAAUUCUUUGAAAUUUUCAAAUGUUUCAGACUUAUGUUUCAUUAAGUAGAUAUACCCAUAUCUGCUUAAAUCAUCUGUGAAGGUGAGAAAAUAACGAUAUCCGCCACGAGCCUCAGUAUUCAUCGGGCCACAUACAUCGGUAUGUAUGAUUUCCAACAAAUCUGUUGCUCUCUCCAUAGUACCGGAGAACGGUGUUUUAGUCAUCUUGCCCAUGAGGCACGGUUCGCAAGUACCAAGUGAUUCAUAAUCAAGUGGUUCCAAAAGUCCAUCAGUAUGGAGUUUCUUCAUGCGCUUUAUACCGAUAUGACCUAAACGACAGUGCCACAAAUAAGUUGCACUUUCAUUAUCAACUCUGCAUCUUUUGGCUUCAACAUUAUGAAUAUGUGUAUUACUACUAUCGAGAUCCAACAAACCAUUUUCAUUGGGUGUAUGACCAUAGAAGGUUUUAUUCAUGUAAACAGAACAACAAUUAUUCUCUAACUUACAUGAAUAACCGUAUUGCAAUAAACAUGAUCAAAUCAUAUUCAUGCUCAACGCAAACACCAAAUAACACUUAUUUAGGUUUAACACUAAUCCCAAAAGUAUAGGGAGUGUGCGAUGAUGAUCAUAUCAAUCUUGGAACUAUUUCCAACACACAUCGUCACUUCACCCUUUAACUAGUCUCUGUUUAUUCUGCAACUCCCGUUUCGAGUUACUAAUCUUAGCAACUGAACUAAUAUCAAAUACUGAGGGGUUGCUAUAAACACUAGUAACGUACACAUCAAUAACAUGUAUAUCAAAUAUACUUAUGUUCACUUUGCCAUCCUUCUUAUCCGCCAAUCACUUGGGGUAGUACCUCUUCCAGUGACCAGUCUCUUUGAAGUAGAAGCACUUAGUCUCAGGCUUAGGACCAGACUUGGGUUUCUUCACUUGAGCAGCAACUUGCUUGCCGUUCUUCUUGAAGUUCCCUUUCUUUCCCUUUGCCCUUUUCUUGAAACUAGUGAUCUUGUUAACCAUCAACACUUGAUGCUCUUUCUUGAUUUCUACCUUCGUUGAUUUCAGCAUCAUGAAGAGCUUGGGAAUCGUUUUCGUCAUCCCUUGCAUACUAUAGUUCAUCACGAAGUUCUAGUAACUUAGUGAUGGUGACUAGAGAAUUCUGUCAAUCACUAUCUUACCUGGAAGAUUAACUCCCACUUGAUUCAAGCGAUUGAAAUACCCAGACAAUCUGAGCACAUGCUCACUAGUUGAGCGAUUCUCCUCCAUCUUUUAGCUAUAGAACUUGUUGGAGACUUCAUAUCUCUCAACUCGGGUAUUUGCUUGAAAUAUUAACUUCAAUUCCUGGAACAUCUCAUAUGGUCCAUGACGUUCAAAACGUCUUUGAAGUCCCGAUUCUAAGCCGUUAAGCAUGGUGCACUAAACUAUCAAGUAGUCAUCAUCUUGAGCUAGCCAGACGUUCAUAACUUCUGCAUCUGCUCCUGCAAUAGGUCUGUCACCUAGCGGUGCAUUAAGGACAUAAUUCUUCUGUGCAGCACUGAGGAUAAACCUCAGAUCACGGAUCGAAUCCGCAUCAUUGCUACUAACAUUUUUCAACACAAUAUUCUCUAGGAACAUAUCAAAAUAAACAUAUGAAAGCAACAACGCGAGCUAUUGAUCUACAACAUAAUUUGCAAAAUACUACUAGGACUAAGUUCAUGAUAAAUUAAAGUUCAAUUAAUCAUAUUACUUAAGAACUCCCACUUAGAUAGACAUCCCUCUAAUCCUCUAAGUGAUCACGUGAUCCAAAUCAACUAAACCAUGUCCGAUCAUCACGUGAGAUGGAGUAGUUUCAAUGGUGAACAUCACUAUGUUGAUCAUAUCUACUAUAUGAUUCACGCUCGACCUUUCGGUCUCUGUGUUCCGAGGCCAUAUCUGUAUAUGCUAGGCUCGUCAAGUAUAACCUGAGUAUUCCGCGCGUGCAACUGUUUUGCACCCGUUGUAUUUGAACGUAGAGCCUAUCACACCCGAUCAUCACGUGGUGUCUCAGCACGACGAACUUUGGCAACGGUGCAUACUCAGGGAGAACACUUCUUGAUAAUUUAGUGAGAGAUCAUCUUAUAAUGCUACCAUCAAUAAAAGCAAGAUAAGAUGCAUAAAAAGAUAAACAUCACAUGCAAUCAAUAUAAGUGAUAUGAUAUGGCCAUCAUCAUCGUGUGCUUGUGAUCUCCAUCUCCGAAGCACCGUCAUGAUCACCAUCGUCACCGGCGCGACACCUUGAUCUCCAUCGUAGCAUCGUUGUCGUCUCGCCAAUCUUAUGCUUCCACGACUAUCACUACUGUUUAGUAAUAAAGUAAAGCAUUACAUCGCGAUUGCAUUGCAUACAAUAAAGCGACAACCAUAUGGCUCCUGCCAGUUGCCGAUAACUCGGUUACAAAACAUGAUCAUCUCAUACAAUAAAAUUCAGCAUCAUGCCUUGACCAUAUCACAUCACAACAUGCCCUGCAAAAACAAGUUAGACGUCCUCUACUUUGUUGUUGCAUGUUUUACGUGGCUGCUACGGGCUUAAGUAAGAACCAAUCUCACCUACGCAUCAAAACCACAACGAUAGUUUGUCAAAUAGACUCCGUUUUAACCUUCUCAAGGACCGGGCGUAGCCAUACUCGGUUCAACUAAAGUUGGAGAGACAGUCGCCCGCAAGCCAUCCAUGUGCAAAGCACGUCGAGGGAACCGGUCUCGCGUAAGCGUACGCGUAAGGUUGGUCCAGGUCGUCUCGUCCAACAAUACCGCCGAACCAAAGUAUGACAUGCUGGUAGGCAGUAUGACUUGUAUCGUCCACAACUCACUUGUGUUCUACUCGUGCAUAUAACAUCAACAUAAAUAACCUAGGCUCGGAUGCCACUGUUGGGUUUCGUAGUAAUUUCAAAAAAUUUCCUACGCACACGCAAGAUCAUGUGAAGCAUAGCAACGAGGGGAGAGUGUUGUCUACGUACCCAACGCAGACCAACUGCGGAAGCGAUGACACGACGUAGAGGAAGUAGUCGUACGUCUUCACGAUCCAACCGAUCAAGCACCGAAACUACGGCACCUCCGAGUUCGAGCACACGUUCAGCUCGAUGACGAUCCCCGGACUCCGAUCCAGCAAAGUGUCGGGGAAGAGUUCCGUCAGCACGACGGCGUGGUGACGAUCUUGAUGAACUACAGCAGCAGGGCUUCGCCUAAACUCCACUACAGUAUUAUCGAGGUAUAUGGUGGCAGGGGGCACCGCACACGACUAAGGAAUAGAUCACGUGGAUCAACUUGUGUGUAUAGAGGUGCCCCCUGCCUCCGUAUAUAAAGGAGGAGAGGAGGGGAGGCUGGCCGGCCAAGGAGGGGAGGCGCAGGAGAGUCCUACUCCCUCUAGGAGUAGGAUUCCCCCCAAUCCUAGUCCAACUAGGAUUCCUCGGAGGGGAAGGGAGAGAGGGGGGCCCGCAGCCACCUUGGGCUGCCCCUUUCUCCUUUCCACUAAGGCCCAUGAAGGCCCAUAUGGCUCCCGGGGGGUUCCGGUAACCCUCCCGGUACUCCGGUAAAAUCCCGAUUUCACCCGGAACACUUCCGAUGUCCAAACAUAGGCUUCCAAUAUAUCAAUCUUUACGUCUUGACCAUUUUGAGACUCCUCGUCAUGUCCGUGAUCACAUCCGGGACUCCGAACAACCUUCGGUACAUCAAAAUGCAUAAACUCAUAAUGUAACUGUCAUCGUAACCUUAAGCGUGCGGACCCUACGGGUUCGAGAACAAUGUAGACAUGACCGAGACACGUCUCCGGUCAAUAACCAAUAGCGGGACCUGGAUGCCCAUAUUGGCUCCUACAUAUUCUACGAAGAUCUUUAUCGGUCAGACCGCAUAACAACAUACGUUGUUCCCUUUGUCAUCGGUAUGUUACUUGCCCGAGAUUCGAUCGUCGGUAUCCAAUACCUAGUUCAAUCUCGUCACCGGCAAGUCUCUUUACUCGUUCUAUAAUGCAUCAUCCCGUAACCAACUCAUUGGUCACAUUGCUUGCAAGGCUUAUAAUGAUGUGCAUUACCGAGAGGGCCCAGAGAUACCUCUCCGACAAUCGGAGUGACAAAACCUAAUCUCGAAAUACGCCAACUCAACAUGUACCUUCGGAGACACCUGUAGUACUCCUUUAUAAUCACCCAGUUACGUUGUGACGUUUGGUAGUACCCAAAGUGUUCCUCCGGUAAACGGGAGUUGCAUAAUCUCAUAGUUACAGAAACAUGUAUAAGUCAUGAAGAAAGCAAUAGCAACAUACUAAACGAUCAAGUGCUAAGCUAACGGAAUGGGUGAAGUCAAUCACAUCAUUCUCCUAAUGAUGCGACCCCGUUAAUCAAAUGACAACUCUUUUGUCCAUGGCUAGGAAACAUAACCAUCUUUGAUAAACGAGCUAGUCAAGUAGAGGCAUACUAGUGACACUAUGUUUGUCUAUGUAUUCACACAUGUAUUAUGUUUCCGGUUAAUACAAUUCUAGCAUGAAUAAUAAACAUUUAUCAUGAAAUAAGGAAAUAAAUAAUAACUUUAUUGUUGCCUCUAGGGCAUAUUUCCUUCACCACGUGGCCCGGCCGGCCCCCGGGGCUCAAGAACCAGGUCCAAUGCCCCCAUUGGUCCCGGUUUUGGAUUGAACCGGGACUAAUGGGCUGGACCGGCCUGGACCAUCGCCCCCUUUUCUACUAGUGUUAGUGCAUGGUGGUUAGUGAAGUUAGUGGAGCAUGGUGUGAGUGCGUGGGUCAUGGUUGAGUGCCAGACUUUGUAUAAAUUGUCAUUUGAGUCAAUGAGAAAAUGUAAGGCCGAGAGGGCCAGUGCAAAGAUGUAGCAUUUGUGGUAGCCAAGGGAGAUUAACUGGGCAAAGCUAUGUGUUCUUCCUUGGUCUAUGCGUGUGUGUGUUCUGUGUGUGUUCUCUCUCUGCGUCCUUGUGUUCAUGGGAGUGUUUUUGAGAGAAGCCAGAAGAGAGAGUUGUGAGAGGCAGCUCGAGGUAGAAGAAGGAGCGGUGCUGCUCCGAGAGGAGGCGGCGCCAACAAUUAUUGACGAAAGGGAUAUUAUAUUGCGCAAGGUAUAAUCAGACGCGUCGGGGAUGGAGCGACUACACACAUAUGGGAUCACAACUGGAUUAUGAGGGAAAGCUAUAAGAGGCCAAUAAAUAAGUUAGUGCAGAUCCCCCCUCAGAAACAUUUUAUGUAUACACGUUAACAUUUCCCAGAUAUAUGAUUAAUAUUUUUAGAAAACUUCUAUUUUUUAUGUGUACUUUUUAUACAUUUUGUAAUAUCAGAAAUAGUUUUUAUAGAAGGUUUAACAUUUUUCAAAUACAUGAUUACCUUUUUGUAAACUUAUAUUGUUUGACGUUUACUUUUUUCCAUAGACAUAGUGAGGGGUUAUAUCUAAGGAAUAGGCCCAAGUACAUGUAGGCACAACCAAAGGCCCAUGUUAAUCAAGGAUGUUCCACAAGACAAAUGGGAAAACACACCGGGGCUAAUGGAGCUACAAGGCCAAGGCAUCGGAUACAAGGGGAGAGUCAACUGUGUACAGUCAGAUUACACAACCCUUAACAGACAAGACUCAUCAGUUGGUCCACUAUAGGAAUCAGGUCAUUUGCCGUCAGCCGAGAACAGAUGCGAAGGCUUUGCCGUGAGCAAGUUGACGACAAACACAAUCAGCAAAGACUAUAUCAGCAAAGAGCUAAUUUGACGUCAACUUUUCAUCGCGCUGAUGACAAAGACUUUGCCGUCAAUUAAACUAUGUGUUUGUCGUCUGUAGAAAAAACACAAAUGGCAAAGAAAUUAAACAAAUGGUCAUUUUAUAAUAAUUUUUCGAAAUGUAUAUAGUGUAUUUUAAAAUGUUAAAUAUGUAUCAAGAAUUAUUUCAUAAAUAUACAGAAGAUGUACAACGUGUAUGAAAAUUAUGUAGACAUCAGAACAUAUUAUAGAAAUGUUAAUCUUGUAUUUAAAAAUGUUAAAUACACAUAAAUAAAAAUGUUUUUGAUGUACAUAAAAAAAUUGUACAUCGUGUGUGAACAAAGUAUGCAUUGAAAAAAAAAUCUUGUUGGAAAGAAAAUCUCGUGCUAUAUACGAAAAUGUAAAAGGUGUAUGAAAAUAAUUAGAUAUAUGCUUAACGAAAAAAAGGAAAGAAGGCGCAAAAAAAUCCGAUCAACACCAAGAUAGGAACAAGAAAACCUGAAGAAGACCAUUGAAAAAAAAGAAAAGAAUACAAGAAAGAGGAAAAAAAACAAAAAAAUGAAGAAGCUGAUGCAGAACAGGGAACUUGGUGAAAACGAAUAAAAAUUGAUGAAAACCGAGAAGAAAAACAAGAAAACUGAAGCAAAAAAAUAAUAAAAAUAUGUAAAAAAAUGAUGAAACAUUGCAAAACACUGAAAUACUAUGAAAACCAAAGGAAGAAAAGACUCAAAAAGAAGAACAUACAGCGAGCGAAUGAACAACAACUGAGUGAACGAGCGACCAUGCGAGAACACGUUAAUUGUCCGGCCCAUACUUGUGGACUCCAGAGGCGAGCCAGAAUAGGCGAGAUAUAGCUAUGACGAUUUGAUACCCUUCACAGCUUCACGAAUGCUAUAUCUCGCUCACAGCGAAAGUAUAUUUUGUCUGGCCUGAAGGUGCAAGAAUAGCAUCAGGUCGCUGUAAGGUUUGUGAUCCUACAAUGAGAGCUCCGAUAAGAUUAAAGUUCAUUUUUCUGACAACCUUUGGUCGUUCGUUCGCGCUCAGGUCGUCCGCUCACUCGAUUCCACGUACUAGUUUGGUUAUGUUGUUUUUUUCAUUUUGUUCUUUUUUUGUUUCUUCACUGGCUUUCUUUGGUUUUUAUAUCGGUUUUCUUUGUUUCCUUCACGUUUUAUUCCUGUUUUCCUUUUUACUGGUUUAUUUAUUCCUUUUUUUCUUUGUUUCUUUCUUGGUUUUCUUUGUUUUUCUUUCUUUUGAUGUCAAUCUUUUUACAUACGCAUUCAACAAUUUCCGUAUACAUCAGAAACAUUUUAUGUAUACACAUUAACAUUUCCCAGAUAUAUGAUUAAUAUUUUUGGAAAACCUCUAUUUUUUAUGUGUACUUUUUGAUACAUUUUGUAUAUAUCAGAAAUAUUUUUUUAGAAGGUUUAACAUUUUUUUAAAUACAUGAUUACCUUUUUGUAAACUUAUAUUGUUUGACGUUUAUUUUUUUCCAUAGACAUAGUGAGGGGUUAUAUCUAAGGAAUAGGCCCAAGUACAUAUAUGGCACAACCAAAGACCCAUGUUAAUCAAGGAUGUGGUCCACAAAACAAAUGGGGAAACACACGGGGGCCAAUGGAGCUACAAGGCCAAAGCAUCGGAUAUAAGGGGAGAAUAAGUGUGUACAGUCGGAUUACACAACACUUGACAGACAAGACUCAUUAGUUGGUCCACUAUAGGAAUCGAGUAAUUUGCCGUCAGCCGAGAACAGACUCGAAGUCUUUGCCGUCAGCAAGUUGAUGACAAACACAGUGAGCAAAGACUAUAUCGGCAAAGAGCUAAUUUGACGUUAACUUUUCAUCCGCUGAUGACAAAGACUUUGCCGUCAAUUAAACUAUGUGUUUGUCGUCUGUAGAAAAAACACAAAUGGCAAAGAAAAGCAUCUUUGCCAUCAGCAACUGAUUCACAUGUGUCGUCAGCCAGACUCGUCUUGUCACUAGCCUCAAACAUCACAGAUGGCAAAGAUUUUUUUUUAUUUUUAAAAUUCCGCGUCGACCACCCUAUCGCUCGUGCAGCCACCGCCUGGCCGCGCUCGCCUCCCUGCUCACAUGCCCUGCCAGCUUGCGCCGUUGCCAUCCGGCAGCGCUCGCCCGACCCUGCUCAUCGCCCGGCCGAGCUCGCCCGCCCUGCUCGGUCGCGUCGUCGGCAGCUGCCCUGCUUGCACACGUACCUGCCCAGCCUUGCUCAUACCGCCGGCCACCCUGCUCGCUAGAGAAAGGAAGGCGAGAGAGGAGGCUCGGGGGAGAAAGAAAAAACAAAGGAGAGAGAGAGGAUGCUACCACUGCCACAUCACCAAUACGCAUGAUCGAUCUGCAAGAUGUGCUCUCUCUUUUGCCGCCUCUGAUGGCAAAGUAUGUCUUUAUCGUCUAUAAUAAGAUUACAAACAGCAAAGUGAGCUCUUUGCCGUCUGUAAAAAAACGGACGACAAACAAACUUUGUUGUCAGCUGCCGACGGCAAAAAGUGCUCUUUACCGCAGCCUCGAUGAGAAGCUGAAGGCAAAGUGCCCCACAGACGGCAAAUUAGUUGAUUCCUGGGUGGUUAUGAGCAAGACAGGAGCAAUAACCCUAUCUACACUCGGUCAUCUGGAAGACAGGAGUAGUCGAACCAUCUAUAGUCGGCUACAUCUGAGGUUACCGUGACCCUUACGAUGCAUUCAUUAUCGCCGUUACUCAAUGGAGUAGUUAAAUACGUCAGUUAGCAAUAAUAAUAGCCACGAACAGUCAAUCAUGCAUGUGACCAUCAAUAGCAUUUAUACCAACCCAUUACGGCACUUCCUCCUAGCACACUCUAUAUAAGCCAGGAGUAGGACAUGAGAGUGAGGGAUGAACUCUCUCACAGUAUAACCUACGCCAAGAGCAGGAACACCACAUGAAUAGAGAUUACCUCCACCAACGUACUCCCAUCCGUUUUAUGUACCGAUCAAUGUAUAUAAUGGCUUCUACAUUCACAUCCCGUAGUAUUGUCAGGAUUAUAUCCACGACAGAAACUAUAUUUUGUUAUACAUCAAGAACAUUUUAUAUAUAAAUAUUUACAAUUUUUUAAAUACAUGAUUAAUAUUUUUUCAAACAUAUAUUUUGUAUGUCUCCUUUUCAUAAUCUUUGAUCCCUGGAAGUUUCAGAUUUUUUCCGAUUUGUUCUCAUUUUUUUAUGAAUUUACUGUUCAUGAGGGUGUAGGGGCACCCAGGAGCUGUUAGGCAUAAUAUUUCUGCUGUUGUUGUCAUCAUCAAGGGGAAUGAGAAGGGUUGAAGUUUUCGUUUUCUUUGAGGGGGAAAUCAGAGUUGGGGGCUGGAAGUGAGUGAUUAGGCCCAACAUAAGCGCUGUGUGUGUGUGUCUCGUCACGGGCACCAAAUUCGAACUGGGCUAUUGUUUUCUGAGAACCCAACGUCACAAGCCCAACCAACAGUCUGCCGAUCUGCAUCUUCCUCUCCUUGUCCAUCCUCCUCGUUGGCCGGACCGCCUCGAGCCACGGCCGCUCCCUGGCGCAGCGUCCUCCCCUUCCUCUCCACCCCCAAAUUCUCUUGUAUCCUCUUCUGAUCUCCUUCCUUACUUCCUCUCGCUGAUGGUCUCCACAAGAAGGUCUCCGAGCUCCUCGGAGGGUUCCGGCUGUACGUCGACGCAGCCUCUCCGACCUCCCCAUGAACAUGAGCUAUCGACCCUGAAAGCCUGUCUCUUCCAUGAUUCGAUUCACAUGAAUUCACGAGCCGCAUGAAUCAUGAAGGUCAUGGAGCAGAAUUCAGUCGUGUAGCCUGACAGUGAUGUACAUUUGUGGCUUUUCUGGCUAAAUAGCUCUGUACCCUAUGUGGAUGCCACUUCAAAUAAUCGUCAAAAUAAUUCUCCUGCACGCGUUAUACAAAUGGCGAAGAAGAAGUUCGCGUGGAACAUUUCGUUUCUUAUUGAUGUCCGAGAGAAAAGCUCCUAGGAAGUUCAUCCGCUCGGUGGAUUAUAAGUUUAAGUUUGUUACAACAUCCAAUCAUCCAUAUAAUCUCUGUGUUUCUUCUGUUUUCUACCAGUCAUAUAUCAUAUGUGCAUCAGAGGAAAAAUGCUUUCAGCAGUCAUGUUGGAGCGCGCAUACCAAGUUCCCACAUUGCAAAUAUGAUCCUAGCCAUUAAUAUGUUUCAUUCCACAUUUUCUUGAUCUAAUUUCUAAAUGAUUGGACAACCUGUUAUAGUCUUAUAGAAUUAUGAGCCGCCAAAUCCACAUUUCUCUUGGUCUAAUUUCUAAAUGAUAAUGUGCAGCAUCUAUCUCCUGGUGAACCUUUUUUUCUUGCGACUGUAUCUCCUGAUGAACCUAGUUUUCUCUAGGUAGCACAAUAAUUGUACUGGUUUGAUGUAAAGGACAUAAAUACAAGGGAAUAAAUUGGAAGCUUAUUUCAAAUUAACUAGCUAGUGGUGUUUGUGAAGUUCAAGAAAAAGCUGGUCUUUUUCUCGACAAAUAAUUUAACAUGCAAAGAAUCAAUAAAUGUAUUUGCAAGAAAGCAAACAUAAUUAACGAUAAAACUGGUUUAUUGUCACUGUAGACAACGGUAGUAGUUGGAACUAGAUACAAACCAAUAAAAAACAAGAUCUCAAAUCUCCAACCAAUAAAGAGUUCAACCCAAAUUUUACAGUAACACCAUUAUAUUCAAAUAGUGAUUAUUCCAACACAUGGAUAAUUAAUUAAGGCACCAGGUUGCCCUUGUGACUAGGAAAGACAAACUUAUGAACUUGCAAGCAUGGCAAUCAGAUCGACAUCCACACAAUGCCAAUAUGAACAUUGUCUUGAUACAACUUUAUUUUUAUUUUAUUUCAGAAUUUAAACAACUAGUAUGGGCGGGUCACACACGACAUUGUGUGACACUUUAUUUGUCACCGCUGCAUCGACAUAUCCAUCGACUAAACAACGGUGAUCCAACUAUAUAUUACUAGAGACCUUUCCUUAUUAGUAGGAACCAACUCCGGUGCCAACACCGAAUGGCACACUAGUGGUGGUUCUAUACAACGGCACAUUGACACGGCACAUCGUUGGCAGGGUACGGAGCGCAAUGGAAGUCAUCACCUCAAGCUGAGCUAUCUGGUGUGGCUGCAAAAAGGUACCUUGUGCCAAUUGUUGUUGUUGAGGUUGUUGCCCGAGUUGUUGUUGUGACUGCUGUUGGGGUUGGGAAACACAUUGGCCCAACUGUUGGGGUUGCUGCUGAGGAGUUUGGAUGGAACCCUGAACCUGUUGUUGUUCUUGCAGGAUGAUGGAGUAGAUGAUAGCACGGAUUGCCUCAUAGCGGGAUUGCUGGGGGAUUUGCGGCAACUGCUGGCAACAUUGUUGUUGCAUCACAUGGCAACUGCUCUGCUGCAACAUUUGCGACCUAGCAAGACUUUGUGGCAUUGCCACAGGGCUGCAUUGCUGCUGGAGGAAUACCUUGCAUGGGUUUAGCUGCUGCAAGAUAGAUGGAUGAACAAAUGGUAUUUGUUGUUGCGGUAGAACUAGUUGUUGUUGUUGCUGCGAAAAUGGUGGUUGUUGCGGUAGACUUGGUUGUUGUUGUUGCAAAAAUGGUGGUUGUUGCUGUAGUACUAUUUGUUGUUGUUGCGAAAACGGUGAUUGUUGCUGUGAAAAUGGUGGUAGUUGUUGCUGUGAAAAUGAUGGUUGUUGCGGUAGAACUGGUUGUUGUUGCUGCGAAAAUGGUGGUUGUUGUUGUGAAAAUGGUGGUUGUUGUUGCUGCGAAAAUGGUGGUUGUUGUUGUGAAAANNNNNNNNNNNNNNNNNNNNNNNNNNNNNNNNNNNNNNNNNNNNNNNNNNNNNNNNNNNNNNNNNNNNNNNNNNNNNNNNNNNNNNNNNNNNNNNNNNNNNNNNNNNNNNNNNNNNNNNNNNNNNNNNNNNNNNNNNNNNNNNNNNNNNNNNNNNNNNNNNNNNNNNNNNNNNNNNNNNNNNNNNNNNNNNNNNNNNNNNNNNNUGGUUGUUGUUGCUGCGAUAAUGGUUGUUGUUGUUGCUGCGAAAAUGGUGGUUGUUGUUGUGAAAAUGGUGGUUGUUGUUGCUGCGAUAAUGGUUGUUGUUGUUGUUGCUGUGAACAUGGUUGCUGUUGUGAAAAUGGUUGUGGUUGUUGUUGGAUGGGUUGUUGUUGUUGGUGGUGCGAUAAUGUUUGUUGUGGUGGUAAUGGUUGUUGCUGCGAUGGUCUCUCCAAACCAGGGAUGUGGCUAUUCUCCAUUUGUGCAAUGGCACUUGUCGCCACAAUGGCGAGGAGAGCAAAGAUGAGGAAGGUCUUCAUGGUGGAUUGGUGUUAACCAGUGUUGCUUGGUUUUGAUGCUUGUGCUUGUGAUGAUCUUUAUACUUCAUGCCUAUUUAUAGUAGCC
rnacentral:lncRNA from 1 species